UUUUUUUUUCAGUCUACCCUGUUGCUGCCUGAACAACGAUAUGUGCUUAGCUCAUUUUCAGGGUUCUUUAUGCUUGGACUCCAGAAUUCUGUUUUUGCAAUCUGAUCUCUUGAAUGGGGAAGGUUCAGUUUCAUCAAGAGAAAGAAAAUGGAGUUCUUUGGGAUGUACUACUUUGUACCCAUAUUAGAGGUAAUACGAACAGCUAAUCGAUCCAAUUCUGGUAUUUUCUAUCAAUCAAUCUGACGAAUUCAUUUUUCUUUGGAUACAUAUUUUCAUGCCAUUCGUCAAAACUUUGUCUGUGAUGCAUUAUGAAACUGCACUGCCCUGGUUUGCAGUACAUGCAUGCUAGGGACACGGUCACAUGGAGGUAUGGAAAAUUGCUAAUGACUAUCUGUUGAUGCCAACACCACUAUCUGCGGGUCUCAUCGUGGGGUGGGACCAACGCUACUUGUUGAUGCCAUGACUGUCUGUUCCAAAUAAAUGGGGGCAUGCUGUCUCGGAUGAUCGGUUCCUUGAUCUGCAGUAUGCAAAUCAACACUUGUUGCACUGAUAUUUGCAGUAGUACUUUGGACUGAUGAGCUACAGUAAUCAGUCAAUGCAUGAGAUACCUCCAGCUCCAAACACUCUUUCAGCUCCAACACAAGAUCAGUCAUUGUCGGUCUUUUCCGCGAUGGCUCCUCCUUGCACUGCAAUGCCAACUCGGCAACCUUCCAAACAGAGUUGACAUUGUACAUCCCUCCCAUCCUUGGAUCAGCAAUGCUUGCGAUGUCACCCUCCGAGAGUUUCUGGCGCACCCACUGUGCAAUGUGGACGCUCUCGGUGUCGCUUAUGGCGACAGCCGGUGAUUGGCCUGUGAUAAGCUCCAAUAGCACAACUCCAAAGCUAUAUACGUCGCUCUUCUCACUGAGCUGGUGUGUAUUAUAGUAUUCAGGGUCAAGAUACCCCAGGGUACCUACCGGCUUAGUGGUAACAUGGGUCCUGAACUGAUCGGCGAACACCUUCAUGAGCCCAAAGUCAGCUAUCUUCGCCUCAAGAUCAGCAGACAGCAGAAUAUUCCCUGUUUUCACGUCCCUAUGUAUCAGUGGCGGGUGGCAUGAUUUAUGUAGAUAUUCCAAUCCUGCAACCGCAUCAUGGAGCCAAGAAAUUAGUUGGUGUGAAACAUUCUAGUGACUAGCGAGUGUAGUUUUACUCAAAAUUAAUCUGUAUAAGCAAAAAGUAAACCAUGGUACAGGAUGCUGUAACUGUAAUACUAUAAUACAGUUUGGGCACGAACCAUGGGCAGAGUCGAGAGCAAUCUUGAGACGCUGAGGCCAAGUGAGGGGUGUAACAGUAGUGGACUCCCCUGUGAUAUAUUGAUGAUAACAAGGUAAGAGCAGAAGAACAGAAAGAGAGAAAGAAAUGUCACGUGGUUAGUUUUUUGAAAAUUGGCCUUUAAGCUCAGUAAUAAGAAAAUGAAUAUAUCCAAUUAACCACACACACAUGAAGGUGAGUUUAGUCUUUUUUCCUUUAUGAGAAGAGGAAGAGGGCCUUACCUCUUAGACGGUCCUCUAGGUUUCCUCCACGCAUGUAUUCAUAUACAAGGGCCAAAUGUUUCUUGUCCUUGCAAUAUCCAAUCAAGGAAACUAGGUUUUUGUGAUGAACUCUACCCAAGUGUUGAGCCUGCAAUAUGUAAUAACUAAUAAGAUAUUUAAUUUGUUUCAAUCUCAAAUCCCCAUAAAGAUGAAAAGGAACUACUCAGCUUACCUCAGCUAAAAACUCUUUAUCCCCUUGGGAGGAUGUUUUUGAACGCAUUUUGACAGCUACUGGAUUUCCAUUCUCCAAGUAGCCCAGGAACACAUCACCAAAUCCUCCUCUCCCUAUUGCUUGUACGAAGUUAGCUGUUAUGAGCUUCAACUCCUUGUAGGAAAAUUGCCUAUUCUCGAAUAUAUUUGACUGGUCCCGAGGGCUACUGAGCCUUGAGUUGUUUGCCAUCCAUCUAUCUAUAAUCAAACCAGAUAUUGUAUGAUCAAGCUUAGCAAAUGCAGAUUACUUUAUUGGUUUCCUUGGUGAAAUGUUACCUCGUUUGUUUCUCAUAUUACGAAUGAUAAGAAAUGCUGCCAAAAAUAGUAGAGUUGCUAAUGCUAUUGGAACAACUGUUGCAAUGACAAUUGUUUUGUUGCUUUUCUUGUUCCCCGACUUGCAUGUGGAAGCACCAUUGUUGCAAAGAUUUGGGUUGUUUUCAGCCCUAUCAUUAGAGCAAAAUGAUCUGAAUUAACUAAAUUUUAAAGAAAAAACAUGGAACUGCACUUUUUUUAUUCAAGUGGUAGGAGUUAUUAAAUUAUUGUCCACUGAUUAACAAUUGUUUUUGCAUUACAGUUCUUCUCAAAAGAACUUUGGGUACGAUGAUCUCUUGAACCCUAAGGUAGCUUACAUGAUGCAAACCUGAACACAAGAGAUCUGUUUUGGCUCUUUUCUAGUACAGCAGCAGGAACCCAUCCACUGAGUUUGUUGCUUGACAGAUCACUGCAGAAACACAUGUUUGAUAUAUCAAUGCAAUUUUUUUUAGCAUAAAGUGAUAUCAGCUAAGCAGAAAUACUUACAGGAAUGUGAGGGAUGGCAUUUGCGCUAGGAAAUCAGGAAUUGAACCAGAUAGGUUGUUGUUGGACAAGUCCCUGGAAUUGCAGUUCUCAUUAAAAUACUAAAGUUGACAUGGGGAACCGAUACAAAGAAGUUAUAUGUUUGUUGUUACUUUAAGUUUCUGUAGGUAAUAGGAUCACGGGCAGUGAAUGAUCUAGUUUGUUAAUAAAUGUUGUAAACUUGUAAUGAUUUUUUUUUGGAAUUUGGAUGCUUUUAAUGAACUUUAUUAUAAUUUGGAUGCUUUUAAACCUUGAUCUUGUAAUGAAGUUGGCCAAACAUUCUUCUUAGAAAGUACUGUCAUGUAAGCUGGUAAUCCCAGGGAGAUAAUUAUGCAUUCAGCAAAAGGAAGGGCCAAAACCUUUAAAAGCAAAAUUGUUGUCUGAAUGUUAGGGGUUUAAGCAAAAAGAAGGGUCAAAACCUGUAAGCUGGGAAGUGAGAACUUUAGGGGUGUUAUAACAUUCAUAAUGUAUAAUUUCAAAUAUUUGUGCGAUUGUGGUAUUUGGUUCUUACAGGUAUUUUAGGGAUUUCAGAUCACCAAAAGAAACAUGAACUUCACCAGCCAACCCGCUAGAUGAUAAGAGCCUGCACAUCCAAUAGUAAAUUAAUACCAGGGAACAGAAAACAGGCACUAUAUUUAGUAAUUUCAGAUCAAGCAUUCAAGUUAGUAUAGUAAUGCCUUUUGAAAUUCGUGGUAGAAUUCUUCAAAGGGUACUUACAGCUUUCGUAAAAUAAAAGGGGUACUUACAGUUCUGUUACUGAUGCAGGACCAGAUGAAGGAUAACUACAGUUCAGGCCAUCCCAAGCAAAUGAUUUUGGUGCACAAGGAUCACCCAUCCAAUUUUUCUUCAAUGCAUACGCUGUGCGAAUUGUCAUCAUGGCCUUGGCUGUUCAUAGGGUAAAAAACAGAAGGUAACUCUGAAGUCAUGCUGUGGAAUUGGGAUCAACUAUCAGGCAAACUUUACUUUGUAAAUUAUAACAAACACUAAAAUCUUUGACUAAAUAAGAGUAAUCUAAUACACUGGUCAAAGCAAGGAACCAUGCAUCCUAUUUGCUUGCAACCAAAAUUUAUCCAGCGCUAUGAAAGCAACAUAAUGCUGAUGGAUGAAACUGACUGACAGAACUUUGACAAGUCGAAAGUGUUUAGCAGAUACCGUCAGCAUCAUUUGUUGCAAGCUCAGUCAUUGGUUUUACUGAAUAUAUCUCAAAUGCAUUCAGGAUGGGUGGGAGAGUGGCGUCCGGCGUGCCAGCAAGUGAGACAGCAUGUUGGCUCGAUCCCUGCACCAUUGUUUUCACAACCUCUGCAGAGAGGUACUUUGGGGUGUAGCUUUGGCUGCCUUUCCAUGUAGCGUUGUCGACAAGGAUAUCAAACUUCCUUAGGGCAUUGCUUGGCAAUCUCUUUAAUUCCGCGAAGUAGAGGAACAGAAGGUAAGUUGCAUGGUCAUCAUUCAGGUCGGGAUCUGAGCUCCAUGUGAAGUUGAUCCAGGUUCCGUUCUCUGGAGUGGCACAGCUCUGCAGUAUCUUGUUUGGCUCGUCGAAGUUAAUGGUGUUUGUGAUGUCUACAGUGUCUGUGGUACUUAUGUUGGUCCAUGUAGGAUCUUUGUAUCUUUGCCAGGAACGGUCAUCCGGAUCAGCUGGGUACCUAUUGUUUAGAAAAUGAAUGGUGUGAGGCAAUCUUCAGAAAUUAACCAUGAAUGCGGAUUACAAAUAAAGCUUCUUUGCAAGAGAGUAAGUAGCACCAUAUUGUUUACAUCAGAUAUCAUCAGAUGGACUGGGAAACCCAAUGAUCAUACUCACCUGAUGAAACCUGUCCCGAAAUGAAAUCGGUUGAUACUGAAAUCGGCUAACGAUGAUGGCCGGGCAAGCCUGAGGAGAAGCAGCGACUGGUUGACCGUGGCCUCUGGGUACAUGGUCUCCCCGAGCGGCCUCAGCUCAAGCGCAUUGAUGAAUGGUGUACCCCACCCUGUAUUCACCAAGCACACCUGUACAUGCACAUGUCAAUUUUGGUGAAGUGAUUCAGAAACUGAGUUUUUUUCCUGAAUAUACAACUGGAAUCCCUUAACUUUUGCUGGUGUUCCUAAGUAAAAUAUUCUAACGCAAUAAUCAUAUAGGCAUGUACUUAUAUUUAUCCAGUUGUAAUAGACUUUAGUUCGCAAUUAUUCUAUAUACCUUUCCAUCCAUAUUUAUAGAUUUUUCUAGUACUUUACAUCGCAUAUCUAUAUGUGGUUGACAUGUGUUUAAUUGAACUUUUCAGCUAUGUGUUUAACUUGAAAAUUGGUAUUAUCAUCAAUUCUUUUAUAAUCUUAUAUGUGGUUUAAUGGUACACGCAUCAUGCAUGUAUACCUUAAGUUGAUAUCAUCUAUUUUAGCAAUGGUAGAAAUAGGUAUUUUAGAAUCAUAUUGGGGUGCAUUUUAGGAUUUUUUAAUGAUAAAUGUAGGUAAAUUCGAUGCAAAUUUAGGGGUUAGUUUUUAAUAAUGAUAGCCGUGGGUAAUUUAGAUGCAACUUUAGAGGGUUAUUUUAGAUUAUCUAUAUAAUGACAUAGGUGGGUAAUUUAGAUAAAGAUUAAGAGGUUCUUUUAGUUUUUUUCAUAAUAACAUAUGUGGGUAUUUAUAUAUAGAUUUAGAGGUUAUUUUAUAAUUUUUUUAGAAAUUUGAUAGAUCCAAUGGCUAUGAUGAGCGUAGGCUAGAUAAUUAUGAUUUUUAAGAGAAUUUCUAGGUUUCAUCUAUUUUUCUAGCGUGUCUCAUGGGAUUUAUCAGGGAGGCUCUAAUUAGUAAUAAUAGUAAGAUAGUUAAAAUCUUGUCAAGCAUAGGUUAUUGAUCGGUACUAGUUUUUUCACACUCGAGAGUUCUAUUUGCAUGGAAAGAUUUUCACUGCUUUGGGAAUGGGGUUGCAAGGAUAUAUCAAUUGACAAAAACUGAAUAAUAGUAUGAGAGGUUGCAUCUACAUUGCCCUAGCCUGUAAGAUGGAGAUAGCAGAUGUUUGGAUACCCACAUGCUACCUAGAGCCAGGAUCACUUGAUGCCAAAAGGUCCUCUCAGCCUAAAUUUUUUUUUGACGUUCCUGCACAGUCAGGCCCAUUGGAUGCACACUAAUAUAUUUAAAUAAAUAGCAUAUUAAUGAUGUUAUUAGUGUGUGAUUAGUCUAUAUUAUGUGAUGUUAAUAUUUAAAUAAAUAUUAAAAAUGAAAAAAAUGACACUUAUUUGUCUACUUUAUGUCAUGCAACAUAUUUUAGUGUAGUCAAUCAAACAACCUCUCUUCCCAAUCUGACAAAAUGAAUACAAGCAACCAACCAAACUAAGUUUUGCACCGGAGGUCGCCCUCUCCCCCCGCGUUGCCCCCGUGUGGGCGACACGGGCGGGCGGCCGCCACCGCCGCCUCCCUCCUCCCUUCGCCGCGCUGCUGUCUGAGCCGUCCGCUGAAAGCCCGAGCGGCCGCAAUGACCGCGGUGGUGGGACGGCACUCCCCCCUUCAGGUCCAGGCGGACGCGGAUGCCCGAUCAAUGGAGAGGACGGCUAUGGCGGCACCGGCGUGGGCGAGCGGAUCCGGCACUGGUGGGUGCGAAUCCGAUGGCCCCGAGGGUGGAUCCGUCAAAGACGGGGGGCGGCGGCCAGCAAUGGCCCGCUGACAAGGAGGAGGGUGACUGCAGCCGGGACGCCAAGAACGACGCCUCGCCGGCGGCGCUGGAGGGGAGUGGGCGGUGGAGCGAGAAGGGAGGGCGACGUGGGUGGCCGUGGGUGUUGUGGGGUUAUUCCUGAUGGGGCCCGGCGUGCUGGGCGGUGGUUCUGCCUCGCUGCCCGGUGGGGGGACCGACGGGCCCAAGUGGCGGCGGCUUGCAGCCAUCUAUCGAUGAGUGGCAGCUCGCUGCGGACGUCUUCCUCGCGCGCGUCGCCGAUGAGCUCGUCCUCCAGGCACACCCUGGCUGCUGGUGGACUCUCGGUGGGUGGCGGUCGCGUGCGGAUGAAGGACGGGCAGCCGGCGCGGGCAAUGAAGGUGCGCCAGCUGGGAGAGAAGCGCGGCGGCCGGGAGGAGUGUGGCUGGGAAGUGCGCGCGGCCAGGAGAAGCACGCGCCGCCGCUAGGAGAAGCGCGGCCGGGAGAGCGCGCGGUGGCGGGGAGGACUGCGGCGGCCGGGAGGAGCACGGCAAGCGGCCGUGCAGUGUUGGCAGGGAGGUGUAGGCGGUGGAGUGCACUGUGCAUGGGCAGCGAUGGAGGGCGGCGACAGAAACGGAGGUGGAGGUAUGGCGACCUGGCGAGUAGAGGCGCAACGGCGUCGUCACCUCGGCUGGGUUGUCGUAGCAAUGGUCCGGGAGUGCCGAACCAUGUACGUGUAGCGAGGGGUUGUAUUGCUCCGGGCAAAAGCCCUCACCGCCCUUCAUGCUGGUGGACAUGACGGCGGUGUCCUAGGACGUCGUCUUCCCCAUUGGGGGCGUCAGGUUGGAACUACGACCUUGUUGCGUGGGGUUCUCUAGGUGAAAACCCUGUCCAAAUUCUGGACGAGUGAUGGCGGCGCUAUUGGUAUCGUCCCCUCCUUGGAGGCGUCGUCUCUAGAGACCCAACUUAGUUUGUGGCAUUGCUGAACCAUUGUCAUGGGAGGUCAUAGCCGAGGGCGGCAACUCCGUCGUGUGGUGAGCUGAACGGGUGUUGCUGAGCUCAUGUGCAGGCGUUCGAAGUUAUGGUGACGGUCAGGGGUUGUUGCAUGGUUAUUGUUUGGCUGCUUGCAGCGGACUGCGACUGACGUUGCUUGGUAGCGAUCAGUACGGUGUGGGACUGCGUCGGAGGACGGCGCUUGCGGCAACGGCAGCGUGGGAUGACUAGGCUUGCAUCGGACCGCGGCGGGUUGCUCAGCUUACCUAGGCUAUCUGGUGCGAUACAUCAUCAGAAGAUGGCGCAAGCGACUUCUCUGGCUUGCUGACACGGUGGAGAAGGCUAUGUACGAGGGUGAAGCUACGAGGCGAGGUCAACACACUGCGGCGGCUUGGCUGAUCAAUGGAGAUCUCGGGGAGCGGAGCAAUAUCACUCAACACUCUGACAGCGAUAAAGAAACGGAUCCGUGACGUGGAGUACUGCGGUGGGCAUGGCAAGGCUCCCUCGCGUGGUGUAUCUUCGAGGCGGCGAGAGAGAGGCGGAGCCAUCCGUCGAGGCCCCCGCACGUUGUGUUAUCGUGGCGGUGAAUGCGAGGUAGCCCGCGAGAGGUCCGGAUUCGGUACUAUCACCCUGUCAAGUGGAGAAUGAUGUUACAGCGGCACUAUGGCGGAAGGUCUUGCAUGGCAGUGGCCUACUCGGUGCGGUACAGUCUGCUUCUGGGUUCAACAUCGAUGCUAGGUUACGCUGGAAGGUUUCGGCGACUUCUUGACUGUGUGUAUGGUGGUACGAGUUAUGGUAAGGCUUCGGUUCUGUCGCCGAUGUGUUGAGAGGAGUGGAGUUCGCUGACGGUUGAUGUCCCAAUCUAACCGACUGAUGUGUUGUACAGUUGAAUUGCGUGUGAGGACUGGCAUUUAAAAAAAACGCUAUUGUAUGCACUGAGGCUAAUUGAGUUAAGGCAGACCAGGCUAGAUAAUACGACAACUAACCAAACAGAACCUACAUGAUGAGACACCCGCGGCAGCAAGACUAACCUGCAAGAAAUCGACCGGCGGCACCGUCACCGCCUCGAUGACAUGCCUGGACUUGGGAGAGGUGAUAUUCACGGUGGUCCAACGGUUCACGCCGAUGUGGAUGUCAAAUACGGGGAGCGUUGCUUCCAGCCCGUCGUAGUUCCCGUAGUAGAAUCUUGCCCGGAUGAGGUACCGGCGGCCCGGCGAGACAGGCCCAAGCGUGUAGCAGCUCCGCCGCUUGCUGGUGCCGCCGCGGUCGGGGAAGUAGCGGACGGUCCGGUACAGAUCGGGCCAGUCCGGCUGGUAGUACGGCGGCCGGACGGCGGCGUUGAGCCCUGCAUCGGUGAAGCCGGUGUCGGGGACGUGGAGGAGGCCCCGGGUCUUCUUGUCGGAGUAGGUCCCGUCCGCGGCGAGGCCGCAGUCGAUGGUGAUGAACUCUGUCCAUGGAACGCGAUCAGUGCGUGGCUUCAGCGGCGAUGAAGGGGGAAGUUCAUGAAUGAAGAAGCUUAAAGUUACCAGGAGAAUUGGGCUGCCCAUGGACGACAGUGAUAAGCUCCGAUGAUGCCGCUAGCCAAACGAGGCCAAAUAGCUGCAUGGAUGGCGCCAUCUUUCCCUCCCUCCCUCCCUCUCUGUCUUUAUAUGUACGGGCUGGUACAAUAUGAUGAAUCGAUCGACAGCGGUGCAUAACUUCUUAAAAAGUACUCCUUGUGUUCCAAAUUACUAUUCAUUUUGAUUUUUCUAUGUAUAUAGUUUUCACUAUGUAUCUAGAUAUAAUAUAUAUCUAGGUGCAUAGCAAAAACUAUAUAUCUAGAAAAGUCAAAACGAAUUGUAAUUUGGGACGGAGGGAGUAUAUUUUGAGUUGAAUUCGGGGAGUAGGUAAUGACACGACGUGUCAACCUAGCGAGGAUCCAGAAUGCAAUUAACAAUGAAAGCAUAUCGACUUCCAACGUGCAGGACAGUAAUUAGAUUAAGUGACGGCAAUGGCUGAUUAAAAAGUCUCUGCGUCCAAGCUUCAGGUAUUUUCUCAGAUGGCUCAUGUAUGCAACAAUGGAGUCAACAAUGGAAACAUGCUACCUACUCCAUGAUAGCAACGCUCAGUUUUUGCUAUACUCUUUAUCAUACCUGGAAUUGACUAAUGUAUUACACGAACUGGCCUUUGCAAUAUCUCAUGCUAUGUCCAAAUACCAGAGCUGCAGAUAAUAUAAAACAUCUUGUAUAGAAAUAAAAAAUGGAUAUGAAUUGUUCAAAUUAAACAGUUUAGCGAUAUAAGCUGAAUUCAGGUACGGUCAAGCUGAAGUUUACAUGGGGAAAACUAUGGGGCUAAAAAAUGUGGUUAUAAAUUGGUUUUUUAUUUAGCCCAUUAGAUUUGUUGUGUCCAAGAGUGGACUUUUUAUUUAAAAAGGCAAGGAUUGGGAUGGAGGGAGUAUAUUCUGAGUUGAAUUCGGGGAGCAGGUAAUGACACGACGUGUCAACCUGGCGAGGAUCCAGAAUGCAAUUAACAAUGGAAGACCAUCGACUUCCAACGCACAGGACAGUAAUUAAAUUAAGUGACGGCAAUGGCUGAUUAAAAAGUCUCUGUGUCCAAGCUUCAGGUAUUUUCUGAGAUGGCUCAUGUAUGCAACAAUGGAGUCAACAAUGGAAACAUGCUACCUACUCCAUGAUAGCAACGCUUAGUUUUUGCUAUACUCUUUUAUCAUAACUAGAAUUGACUAGGGGCCUGGUUUGACCGGAAUGGCCUGGAAUGCAGCCCAAUCCGAACGGAUUGGAACGGCCUGGAACGAAUACGACCCAACACAGAAUUGUUGUUCGAUUGGCCUGCCUCGGAACCAAACCUGGGCCAGAACGAUUUCAACCCUUCCUUCGACGGCCUGGAAGCAAUCCUCACCUCAUCCCUCCCGGAUCGGUGCCUGGCCACGCGACGCGAGGAGAUGAGACGCUUCGCUGGUGGCGCACGAUGCGAUGAGGCGGCAGCGAGAGGUGGCGGCGCGAGGUGACGGUGUGGCACAUCUUCGACGGCCACCACUGCGACGGCAACUGCCGCCUUCUCGCCGGACGCGCAUUGCUCUUCCUCACUCCCCGGUUCACCUCCCCUGUUCCCUUCCGCUUCUCUCCUGGGGCCGGGCGUUCUUGGAGCUACAGCUUCUGGAGCUGCUGCUGCGGAAGUCACCGCUGGUGGUCGCUUAGGUGGCGGGUCCGCAAAGGGGAGGGGCAGCCGCGCCUGCUCCGUCCUUGGCUCCACCCUGCUCUUGCUGCUGCUCGCGCUCAGCUUCGCCACCACGCGGAAGGGCUCCACCUGGAAGACCCUGAGUGGUAAGCUCAAUUUGUGACGCUUCACCUCCUUUCGUGCAAGGAUCCGUAGUACUGUGUGCGUGUGUGAUCUGAUCUGGGCCGAUUUGAUGCUACGCUUUGCUUAAAGAUAUUUUUUUCUUGGAACUGCAAAUUUGUUUGUUCUACUGCUUGGGCUGGAUAUUCAGGAUGAGAACGAGCUGGAUGCGCAUUUCUUUCUUUCUUUCUUUUUUGGGUUUAGCUGAAGCUUCAUUUUCGCUUAUCAAUUUGCUGGAAUUGCUUAUCAAAUUUAACUUGCACAACAUGAUUACGAAGAAGUGAGGAUAAUAGACCUGUGUUUGUUCCUGUCAGAGAAGUGAGGAAGCAUAACUAAACUUGAUUUAGAAGAGUUUAGUCAUGACUAUGCUCAUGCCUCUUUCUAUGCGUCUGCUACAUAUAGUUAAUUGUAGGCAAACAAAAUUUUCAAUUCUAUUGGAAAUAAGUAGGAAUAAACUGACAACUAAUUUUUUAAUUCACCUCUAUCAAAGGAGGCACAAGCUUAGUCUUGCCUGCACUGUUCUAAAUCAAGUCCAUUUUCUUUGAGAUAUAUUUAAGGAGGUAGCUUGUCCAUUUCUGUUUUCAUGGAUCGAGAUUCUUUUCUGUUCCCCCAAUUAUGGCAAUGAACCAUAGCCCCCCCUUUUGUCUUAGCUAUGGUGAUAUGUUAAUACUAUAUGUUUAAUUUUCAGGACCUUCUGGAUGACGUUAGGAUUGCUCAAGAGAAGAAAGUUGAAGAAUUGAAGAGGUAGCAGGAGAUUCCAGCUCAGACUCUAUUUUAUCUUGAUCAAGACUGAAAGAUUGAAAGGAUAUUGCUAUCUUUUCUUGAUCAAGACUCUAUUUUUGUUUGCUACUUCUUCCUCAUUUGAGGCCUGAAACUGUCAAACAAGUGUUUUCAUUUCUAACCAAAACGAAUGGCUGUGAAAAGGACCAGGUUUGAUUCCUGGGCCGGAUCCAUUGGUGAUCAGGUUUUAGUGAACCACCUGGAUUCACUCGAUCCAGCCCAGGAAUGAAAACAGGCAUGUUUCCAAACCUAGCUUGUUGAACGAGGCCUAAUGUAUUACACGAACUGGCCUUUGCAAUAUCUCAUGCUAUGUCCAAAUACCAGAGCUGCAGAUAACAUAAAACAUCUUGUAUAGAAAUAAAAAAUGCAUAUGAAUUGUUCAAAUUAAACAGUUUAGCGAUAUAAGCUGAAUUCAGACCAGCUGAAGUUUACAUCGGGAAAACUAUGGGGCUAAAAAAUGUGGUUAUAAAUUGGUUUUUAUUUAGCCCAUUAGAUUUUCUGUGUCCAAGAGUGGACUUUUUAUUGAAAAAGGCAAGGAUUGUGGAGGGAUGUCUUGCCUAUCUUUUUUUUCCCAGACAUUUGCAAUAAAAUUGAUCAUGUAUGCAAUGAGAAUUGCCAACGGUGUAACAUCGGCAGAGGGAUCUAGCUAGUGACCCUCCUCGUGUGAGUUCGGAAUGGGGGUUGAGGAUCGGUAAUAAUCCCUAACUAAGGAUUUUUUUACCCAAGUAACUACCACACAGUCAAGGCGACAAAAGGCGGAAGACAAGGGGAAGGUGGAAGAAGGGGCGGAAGCACUCAAGGUGACAGCGUUACAUUUUCAUCCUUAGGAGGCUCCAUCAAGUGACGCAGGGGUGGUGCUGCUUCAGUAGAAGAAUGGGUGUUGACAGAGAAGAUGUGAAGAGGGUGCAGACACGGUGGAGUCUGCAAAAUCUGGGAAAUGGAAACACAAGCUGGUGUUUAGAUGUAGUCUUUUGUUAGGUGUUGAUUGAUGUCAGUGCCUGAAAAAGUUAAACUUUGUAGUCUAUCUGUGUUGCUUUGCGAUAUUAGUUUAAAUUUCGUCUGUGAGUUGAGAACUGUCAGUGUUUUAACCCGACAACCUAUCAGGAGAGUAACCGAGAUAGUAUUUUGGUUGGUGGGUGUCGCCAAAAUCAAGGAGUCGAUGGUGACGUGGGAACACGAUUUUCACAAGUUCGGGCCACUAGAUCGCGUAAUACCCUACAUCAUGUGUGUUGUAUGCUUGUAUUGAUUGAACUUGUUUUGAGGGGGUCCCUGCCCGCCCUUAUAUAUCGGGGCAGCAGGGUUUCAGGGUAGUCUUUGGUACAAGAGUACUAGUCGGAUAAGACUACAGAGUCCUACUCUAACUCGGCAGAGUAGUUUCCUUGUAUUCUGACUAAUCCUUCAGGAGUUCCAUGUAGUCUACAUUGCCCUGUAGCGUAGUCGUCAUAUCCUAAUACGUCUUUGAGUACGUCCCCUUGAGUGGGUCCGUACAGACCUUCUGGUGGGCCCGGGGAUGUAUGGUCGACAAGCCCCCGAGUACUUUGUAGUCAAAUGAAAGAGUUCCGAGUACUCAGUAGACGUUGCUCGACUAGUCUUCGAUGCUCGUUGAGUACUUCUGUUGUGGCUAGUCUUCGAGUACUCGAAUGUUGUCAUGCGGUUGGAAGGUACUCCUGCUCCAUUCUGACAUUGGUUUUGAGUAGUUUGUCUUCAAGUCUUUAUAUGGAAGUGCAAUGAAAAUCGCACUCUAUAUGGAGUAGCCCCCAAGCCUUAGGUUGAAUUGAAGAAUCAGGCUGAGGGUCAAACUGAAUUUGCUUCCUUAAUCCCUGAAGAAAAAGAAAAUUUUGUCCAACGGGCGAGAUGUAUGCAGCCCCCGAGCACUUGAUCGACUACAUCCAGGCGAUGAAGGGGUCAAUCAUGAUCAACGUGACCAUUGGACUUCAAUCUUGCGAUAAAUCUUAAGAGUAUCAGACCGUUGCAAGAUUACCGACUGCGUUCCCAGAAUCUCGGAGCUGUUUUAGAUCCGUUGCGCUGUUAUAAAAGAUAAGGCCGGUAACCUCCGUUGUUUACGCUUUUUGCCAUUCGCAUCUGACAUUCUCCAUCUUGAAAAAAACCCUAACGCCACCACGCCACCGCCACCAUCGGCUGAAUUUAGCGACUUUAAGCGCCAUAGUAGCCUUUUUUUCCUCCCCUUACAUGCCCCGUUGUGAUGCGUGUGAAGAAGAUGGGGAAGAAGACUGAUAAGUCCAAGGGAAAAGCCGUGGAGGGAUCGAUGAAGGAAUCCAAGAAAGGGAAAGAGCCACAGCUUCCUUCGCCCAAAUGUGGGCCUACCGAUCAAACUUUUUCGCCAAAUCAAGCUUCUGCUUGGAAGAUCUCCACCAUGAAGAAGGAAGCAAUCCAAGAUUUGGUGGAUGCAAAAUUGCUGCAGGAGGAGGCCAUCAUGAAUUGGAGGUGUGCCUAUGCCAAUGCCUGGAGAUUUGGGCUCAUUUUGUGGAGACAGGACUCGCUGUUCCUACAUCGGAGUUCUUUAGAGGUGCUGGCGGGCGGGGCGAGAAGCGGCGGCGGUGGAGGAAGUUGAAAUGAAUCGAAGAAUGUCUAAGUGUUGGAAUGAGAUGGGGAUAACUUGGAAUCUUUGUCGAGUGCCCACGAUCUGGCACUCGGCAAAGAGAAGUUUUAAUUUUCGCCCAAAAAAUUCGCGCCGGCCAGGUGCUUUGCCGAGUGCUAGAUCGCGGGCACUCGGCAAAGUCGUACUGUUUGCUGAGUGCCAGAUCUUGGGCACUCGGAAAGUUAAGUUACAAUUUUUUUGUUUGAACCACGCCCUAGUUAGUGGGCCCGUGCAUCUAUUUUGCCGAGUGCCCGGAGAAAACACUCGGCAAAACAUUAGCUUUGCCGAGUGUUUUCGCCAGACACUCGGCAAAAUUUACAUGAAAUCACGUAUUUUACUGAACUUUUUCUAAUAUACUUGGGCAAAAUCGUGUCAAAAUCACUCAACAAUGGUUAAAUUAUUUUUCUACUGAUAUUAUUCCAUUAUUUCAUGCAGUUAUAGCUCAAAUUGCAUUUAUAUCUACUAGAAAUCUAUAAUUGCAUUUAAUCAAUAAAAAAUAUCAAACGCAUCCGAAAAAUUUCCAAAUUUUGACAUGAACCAAUCUGUGUUGUAUGUUGCCUAUACAAAAAGAUUUGAAGUCACACCUUAAUUCAAGUGUCACUUGGACUCCAAAUCUUAUUGGGUCCUUUCUAACUUCUAUGAAUCCUUCUAGGAGGUGAGUCGGUUUCUAAGCAUCAUAUGUCAGAAAUUGGGCGAAACCUUCUCAAUUGUUUACCAUAGCCUCCACACAUAAUAUCAUGACAUCUUGACAAAUCUUGUGAUUUUCAGAUUUCGUUUGCUUUUUUUAGAAUUUAACAACCAUUCAACCACACGUUUGUGGUCGUGUUUUUUAAAAACAAUGUUCAAAAUUUCAUUUCAUUUCCUGGUUGAGACCUCAAUCCGGACUCCAUAAUAUGAAUAUGAUUUUUUCACUGAUUUCAAUCCAUUAUUUCAAGUACUUGCAGUUAAAAUCUGACUUGAAUAAAAAAAUUCCUAUUAAUGCAAACAAUUCAUUAAAAAUAGCAAACAGACCAGAAAAUAUACCAAAUUUUAAUAUGCAUUACCAAAAGUCCUACAUGGGGAGUAGAAAAAGUGUGGAGGUCAGGGGAGGGAAUUUUUUUUUCUUUGCCGAGUGCCAACAGAAACACUCGGCAAACUCCAUGGUUUGCCGAGUGUCUGCGGUUUGGCACUCGGCGAAGUCUUGGGUUUACCGAGUGUCUAGGAGUGGCACUCGGUGAACUUUUGAGUUUGCCGAGUGUGUGUGAGUGGCCCUCAGCAAACGUCCUCUUUGCCGAGUCUCGGCGUCCAACACUCGGCAAAGGACUAACGGCCGGCCCACUCCGGUAACAGACGGCGCACGUGCGAAGCACGCGCUGUUGAUUUACCGAGUGUCGCGUAUUUGCCGAGUGUCUGGGAGUUUUUUGCCGAGUGCCUUAUUUUUGGCACUCGGAAAACCACCUAUUUGCUGAGUGUAAUAGGUUUGCCGAGUGCCUCCUUGUAUACACUCGGCAAAUAGGUUGUUUGCUGAGUGCCCGAAAUAAAGCACUCGGCACACUUUUUACACUCGGCGAAUUUACUGUUUCCGGUAGUGAUGGCUCGAAUGAUGCCUCAACUACAACUAGGAUGUAUCUUAGUCACCAUCAUUCCAUCUUCUCUUUCAUACGCCAUUGCAGAAACCUCAAAGUCAAUAAAUUCUAUUUGCACUUGAGAGCACAGGAGUUGUAUAACGGAUUUGUUUGCUCAGGCUGGCCAUCCUAACCCCUGGCACACCAUUGAACAUAUAUCAGGAGAGAUAUUAGAGAAAAAACAUGGAGAGGAGGAGGAAUAGGUGGGUUGGAGGAGGAAGAAGGAGACGAGCCCUUCCUCGCAGUCCCAGCCCGUCCCGGGUCCGCCGGCUCGAAGGAGCUGUAGUCUGCUGGCUGGAAGGAGAGCACGUCUUUGCCAAGGUCAUAGAGAAGUUGCAUGUUCUGCUACAUGUAGCCGCCGAUGACAGUCGUCUCAUUCAUCGGCGGCGAGGCCUUGCGCGCCGAGCUGAACACCACCAUGCACGCCGUCUCGUUGCCCACGGGUGCCCAGUAGUUCUCCGGCGGCAGCACCACUUCCCCCCCGCCGCCAAAUUGCAGCACAAGCGGCGGGACCAGCCUGGCGAGGUCCCCCUGUGACACGCAGAGCUCCAGCCUCUUGCUGAUGAUAACUUUCGGCAGCCGCACGAGGCUGGCGCCCAGCUGCUCCUCGAGCUCCGCCUUCAGCACCCGGUACGCCACGUCGACAAGGCUCAUGAAUGGGGACCCGGUGUCGACCACCGUGCCUGCCCACCUCCCCGGCUUCACCUCCCGGAGGCCGAACACGGCGGCGGGGACGUCGAGCUUGGCUUUCCCCAUCAUGAUCCCGGCGAGUGUCAGGUAGUAGUACGUGCUGAAGGGGUACUCCUUGGAGUUCUUGACAAACGGCACGGACGUGACCGGCGCGCCGCCGCUCAGGGCGGCGGACGCGCCGACGAGGAGGUGGCUCGGGUUGGUGGCAUCGCUGAAGAACGGCAUGAGGCAGUAGGAGAACUUGGUCUCGGAGAGCUGGGAGACCAGCGACAGCGGGCCUCUGCCGAGGCCGAUGAUGCCAGACGCGCCACCCAGGGAGCCCCUCGUGAGCGUGCUCGCGUCGAUGGUCCCAAAGGUGAGCCUCACCUUCUCCGACCCGAACGUGAACUCGUUGGUGCUAAGGUCUCCGGCGAUCUCCUCGAAGGCGUUGUAGGCGGUGUGGACAUAGCACUCCGUCCCGGCGCAGCUGCACUGUGUCGCGGAGCCAAUGCUGGUGGCGCACGCGGUGUUGCUACACGUCAGGUUCUGGGCGGCGUGCGACAGGGACGGGUCGUAGCGGGUAAAGUUGGCUAGACGGGCCGCCCGACACGGCACUAGCAUGGGCACUAUCUGACACGGCACUAAAUGGCACGGCACUAACAGGCACGAUUACUUAGCUGUGUCAUGCCGUGUACUGCCGCCGUGCCUAACUGUCGGCAUAGGCAUGGCACUAACAGGCAGUUAGCGUGCCGUGCCAUGCCACAUGUCACGGCGGCACUGCAGUGCCCGUGCCAGCCCUGGCACUAAGUGUGCCUACCACUCUUUUUACACAGAAUUACAAGCACAAUUCAAAAAUAAUGAGAUUCACAAGCAAUUUAGAACUUAUCUUGCUGUAUUCACAAACACAAAGUAACAAAGUCACAACAGUCACACAAAGUCACAGAGAUAACAAAAUAACAUUUUAUUGGGAGCUUUAGUGCAAUGGCUGGCUCAUUAAAAAUCUAUCUAGGUAAAACUCACCCUUGUGAGAGACCCUAGAUAGGAAAAAAGAGUGCAGCCCAGCUCCAAUUAUAAAGUUCAUCACAGUCCAGUACUUAAUAUUACAGUCCCAUUACAUAAAUGAUAACUAAUCAAGAUAAAGUUCUUCAAAAGCUUCUUCAAGUUCCUUGUCCUCCACCAUGUGUUGCAGCCUUGCUUCUGCAGCCUCCCAGUCUUUGAUGCAGGUGAGCAUCUCCACGAUGUCAGGCUUUAGCUUCCUCCGCCGCUCCUCGAUGAUCUUGCCAGCCAUACUAAAAGUGCAUUAUAAAGAUAUGGUUGAAACAGGAACAGUUAAUAUAUCCUUAGCCAUGGUUGACAACACUGGAUAUGUGAAUUUGUGUUGAUGCCACCAGUUCAAGAUGUUAAAAUCAUCAUCUAAAUGGUUCAUCGUGUCACAGUCCAAGUAAGAAACAAGUUCAGAAAUAUUACCACCUGAAGAACUUGCAGCCUGCAGAAGGGCAGUUGCAGAUGUAUCUCUAGCCAUGCUUAGAGUAGCAGCUAGAGUAUGCAUGCCACCAGCAGAACCAACAUCAUCAUCAUCAUAAAUUUCAUCCCAAGCAGACCUUUUCUUACCAAAUAGGUUAGGAGGUACAGUCCUCCUCAAUCUAACACCUCCAUAUUUCUCCUCAUACUUGUUGUAGACAUCAGUAAGUCGAGCUCUAGUGUUAACCUGGUAAGCACUGUAAUCUGUACUGGUAAGGGUACCCAACCUCCUGAGCACUCUAUUGAAACCUUUCAUUUUAGCUCUAGGGUCCAGGAUGAAUGCAAAAGAAUAAAGCAAAGGUAUGUCCCUCCAGUAUUUGUUAUACUUGUCUAUCAUAGGUUGAACCACAUGUUUGAUGUGAGUAUCAUUAGCAUAAUUCUUUAAGUGCAUAGCAAUCUUAACAAGAUAAUGAAUCAUAAGUGGAGAUGUAGGAUAGUACACACUAGACAAUGCAACUGUAGCAUCAUAAAACAGUUCAAGAAAUCUUAGCACUUUUUAUGCCAUAGCCCAAUUAUCAUCAGAUAAAAGCAACUGAUCACCUUCAACCCUAGGAUAUUGAGCAACGAUGAAAGUUGUGAAUGGGACCUUAUGAGGAAACAAAUGCUUAAGCAUUAGAUAUGUAGAAUUCCACCUAACUUCCAUGUCUAGCUGAAACUUUCUAGAGCUAACACCAGUGGCAAUACAAUAACUUUUAUAUGCAGCAAUUCUCUGAUUAGAUGAGUAUAAGAAAGAUAUUGCAAUUCUAAACUUCUCAAUCAAUGGCUUAAGAGCAGUUAGAGCCUCCUUAACAAUCAGACUGAUAAUAUGGCAACGCUGAUGCAAGAACAAAGAAUUAACUGAAUGUGCAUUGUCAUCCCUAUCAUCUUCCACAACUUCAAUACCAAGAUAUUUAGAAAGAACAGGUCUAAGCUUUUGCAUGGCUGAAACAUUAGAUGAUGCAUUGUCCAAAGUAACAUCAAAAACUUUUUCAGUCAAACAAUAGUCAUCAAGCACAGAUGCAACACGAUCAGCAAUAUUUUGACCAUUGUGUGAACAAUCAAUCAGCCUAAGACCAAGCACUCUCUUCUCUAGUUGCCAAUCAGAGUUUAUAGUGAGCAACAACACUGAGGUAGUCCUCUUUGGCAUUACCAGACCAAAUAUCAGAGGUUAGACACACACAAUUAACACCAGCAGAUUUCACAAUCUCAACAAGCUUAGCCUUGCAAUCAUUGAAGUAUUUUAGCAGGUCUCUAGUGGUGGUUUGCCUAGAUACUGCAACAAAUUUAGGAUUAUGAGCAGUUCUAAUGUAAUCUUCAAAUGCAUAAGAUUCACCCAAAGAGACAGGAACAUCAAGCCUAGCAAGCAGUCUAACAAGUUGAGUAUGGGCAACUAUAGGAUAAUACUCCCAAUUACGAAUACUACCAUCAGGAUUAAAAGAGAUUUGUGACCGAGACAUGCGAGUUUUCUCACGCCUUCUAGGGCAUCUAUCCCUAUGGCGGGUGAGGUGACCAGUGCCACCACUAGAGCGCCCAGAGUACUCCUUAGAGCAAUGGAUGCAUUUAGCUCCAUACCUUACCUUCUUACCAUUCACCAUUUUGAAUAUCUUCUUGAAAUCAAGCCACACGGCCGAGGUAGAGGGGCGUGAGCGCUUAUCGUUGUUCUCUUUCCCGUCCCCAUCCACUUCUUGGUCAUCGCAGGGCUCCAGGAUGAUGGGAGGUUGAGCCACACGGCUGAAGAGCUCUGCGGCAUCCUCGCGCAUGUCAUCCUCGUCAUUAUCUCGGGCCAACCCGCAAAGCCGCCUCUCUUGGUUCGACCCACCCUGAACCGUCUCGUCGUCAUCGGAUCUGGCCAUCGUCACACGCCCGCGCCCCGGUUCCUCAAUGGCUACACAAAAACAAGAGUUAGGGUUAGGGAUAAGGGAUCGAUUGAGCAAGGGUUAGGGUUAGGGUUUCCUACCUUGAUAGCCGCAACACCGGAGUCGCCGGCGACGUUGACGAAGCACAGAUCCAGCGAGAUUGACUACGGAUCUGGUGAGUUCUAAUGCGGAUCCGGCGAGAUCAACACGGGGCCGAGACCUGGCGAGGCCGACACGGAGAUGACGAGAAGGACGACGCGAAGCGAGAAUGCGAGAUCAAGAAUAGGUGAUAGGAGUAUACAUGGUCGUGUCAUGUGCAAGUGCUGGGGGAGGCCGAAGGCCACUGGAGAGGGAGGAGAAGGGCAGGAGGGAGGGGAUCCGGGGAGGGAGGCAGAGAGUUGCUCUCGUAGCGGAGAGAGUUGAGAGCUAGAGAGAGAGGAGAGCGAGCGGAGAGAGAGAGAGAGAGAGGAGCGAUGCAAAUGAGCUAGGGUUACGGAUGGGGGGUGCGGAUCGCAACGGCCUCGCUUAUAUACGCGCCCCCGCCAAUGGUCAGAUCCAACGGUCGGAUGGAGCGGGGGAGGAGGAUCCGACGGCUGAUAGCCGUUUGAGCCGUGCCUUAAGUGGGCUGGCCCAUUAAGCGUGCCGUGCCCGUGCCGGCACUACGGGCCGAAUAGGCGGCCCAGACACGGCACUAACGCCGUGCCGUGCUUGGCACUAGCACGAAGGCUCAUGAGCUGGGCUGUUUUCGGGCCGUGCUUCUUCGUGUCGUGCUCGGGCCGGCCCAUCGUGUUAGUGCCAAAUGGAAAUCUAUAGUAGCAGGGAAGGUCCUGGCGGAAGCAGACGCUGCAAGCCGCCGACUGCGUCCAGACGAGGUUGCUGGCGGUGUCGACAAUGGCCUCAGCCUUCUGCGGCGGGUCAUCGACGAGGUACUUGACGGAGUACUGGUUCUCGACCAAGCGGGCCGGCCCAGACGCUAGACGGCGGUGGGUGGGCUUGAGGUGGAGGUCGCCGCAGGUGGCGAAGGCCACGGAGGAGCACAAGAUUGCGAGCCAGAGCAAAGGCCUCGCCAUUUUUUGAAGUCUUGAUGCUGUCCUACUCCGUAGCACGUUCGUGUUCAUGGGGAAGAAGUACAGGGACGCUAAGUCUAUUAUAUAUAACCUGAGGAUGCAAUGUGAUAAAAAUACAAAAAACAUACUCCCUCCCUUCCAAAUUUUUGGUAGUCAUUCCAACUUUCAUGGAGAGUCAAAACAUCUCAAGUUUGACUAAAUUUACACAAAUACUAAUAUUUAUUAUACUAAAUAAAUACCAUUAAUUUUUUCAUUAAAUAUAUUUUCAUAGUAUAUUUAUUCGGUGUCAUAAACCUUUAUGAUCAUCUCUAUAAUUUUGAUCAAACAUAAAAUGGUUUGACUCUCCAAGAAAGUUGGAAUGACUUAUAAUUUGGAAUGGAGGGAGUAGCUGGAUUCGUAAUGGCAUUAGUUGGCAGAGAGUCUAAUAAAAGAAGAUGAUUGAAUGAAUGUCAAAUUGUUGACAUUACAAGUGGGUAUAUGUUAGGGUAAUUCAGUGAUUUUCAAUUUCCAUAGGAUGUAUUUGUAAUCUUUGAAGUAUUUAGUAACAUGUUCAAUUUAGCAUUGCAGCUGAAUUCGCGGCAGCAUUUGGAUAAAUUUACCCAAAGAAAGCAUGAUCAAUCAUAUCUCAAAUUGUUGACAUUAAUGCAAGUGGCUAUAUCCAAGCUUAGUGCAAACAUCAACUUGAAUAUGAUAAAUAAACUACAGGCCUUAAGAGUAUGUUUACACGACCAACGGAUGAGUUGAGGUUCAUGCAGACCUAGCCAUGCAUCUCUAUGGGAAUGAAUCAUGUUGGCCAAACAUGAUAUCAGCUGCAGUGCUGAAUUGUUUAAUUUGAGCAAUUCACAUGCAUUUUCCUAUAGUAGAUUUUGUCUACAGCAUUUUCUUUGAAGUGGAAAAAUGUGGAAUUUACAUUUAGCAAAAGCUAGUUAGUUUAAUUAUCCAAUUUAGUCUAUCGACUGAAAAAAAAAUGCAAAUGGACAAUGCAUCAGGGUCAACCUAGCCUCACACCACCAUUUCUUGGGAAGUCCGACGCUUCUAACAUAGCGUUAAGCACGUAAGUUAGAGUGCGGCUCUUUCAUUCGUCAAUCCUAUUUGAUUGAGAUGAAUAAGAAGGUAUCAUCACAUGAAUGGUACCAUGUUCCUAGUAGCGUAUGGUAAACUUAUUUGAAAAAUACUCUAUUACCUAACUUUUUUGGUUUUUUUUCUCAAGUUUAUUUUCUACUUCACCUUUAUGGCUUUAUAGAUUUUUGUAUGUGCAGUGCAAUGCCUCAUCCUUUGAUUUUAGUUGCAUUUUUAACUAACAUUAUAGAAUAUCUUUCCCCACCCUUCAUCAACAAACUAUUCAUUUCCAAAGAUUUAAAUACAUGGGCUCUAACAGUGUCAAAUUCUUUUACUUCUGCUGCCUUGUGAGGUUUGCGAGAUUGUUUGCUUGCACUUAAGUCUGACACAUAUUGAGAAAUUCAGGAUUAAAUUCAUAGGUUUAAACAUAGCAUGCAAACAAUACUAACAUGAUAAAAUUAUAGAUGCCAAAUAUUUGAUCCAUCCUUGUCAGCAGCACGUACAGGACCGGGGUGUCCUUACUCUCCCUCAUCUGCAGGGUGGACCAAGGCAAUGGCACGUGAUGCCCGGAUGCUCCUGCAGAGCCACAGGGGGCUCCCCCUUCGGCCCCUCCAAAGGGAACACAUAGUAACCCCAAGGGUCUCCAUAGGAGUGAGCGGGGUCCCCCCUCUGUGUCUUCCUAGGGAGGACAAGUGGCACCCCUGUGGUGUUCCUGCCAAGUCAUGCAUUUCCUGGAAAGGACGUGUGGUGCCUUCCGGAGGGGUCCUCACCAGGUUAGGCAAGACUCCCGUCUGGGUCUCCCCAGAAGGGACACGUGGAGUGUCUGUUGCAAUUCUCGCUGAGUCAGGCAGAGCUACCCUAGGCCCCUAGGCUCCUAAUGGGGCAUGGGAUUGCCUUAACAAAUUGGUAGUGAAAGAAUCAUGCAAUACUCAUGGCUAAAAUACUUAGCUGCAGAGGUUCACAGCAGUGCUCGAGUUCAUAUUGUGAAUUCUAUGUUAAAAAGCCAAGAAGUGUAAUUCCAAAUAAAAUAAAGAUAAGCAGCGCCAGGAUGCACCCAUUUGUCGAGAACAAUUUAAUAUCUGGAUAUGGUGUAAAAAGGACGUUAAAACUCGGUGGUAUAGUAAAGUGAAAUGAAAAUGUGACAAACUAAAGAAAACAAUAUGCAGGAUUUGAAUAUCUUUGAAAGAAGGUGGGAGUGCUACUGAGGGAUCUGCAGGCAUCGUAGGCUCCCGACGCACGACCAAAAAAUUUUUCCACUCUUGCGGGAUUUUUAGUAUUAUAUAGAGAUAUAUCUAUUGAGACGUGGUGUCUUCCCCCUUCAUCGUGUGUGGUGUGGGUUGGCCAAAUAUGCUCAUAUAGGAGUUGGAGCUGCUCGGUUUCAUCCUCUAUGGCAAGCUUGCAAUGACAAUGUAGUUGGGGACCUAUGUCAGCUUGGUCACACCCUUGUUGGGCCCAUCCAUGGCACUGCCUUCUGAGGCCUGGUGGAGGAAAUGAAGUAUGAUGUGUUUUGUUGUAUCCUGCUCUUAUAUAUCAUCUUGCGAGUAGAUGUCGUGUGACCUUGGUCCUUGCAAAUAGGAGCUAUCAUGUCGAUGAGGAUGAAACUCGGCAACGACAACUCAAGGCAGCGCUCAUUUCCCCAGCCUAAGUGCCUAACAGCUGGGGAUACAAAAGGGUUGAGCUUAGGGCAAGAGCUUGGGAUGCAGAAGGCUUGAGCUAGCUUAGGGCAGCACCAUGGUCCAUUUGUAGAAACUCGAAGCUGCCAUGUGUGUGUGUGCUGGGCGAUAUAAUUAAUGACCUACCACAGAUAGCGAUGGUUAUUUGUGCUACGGGAGGUGUUGUGCUUAUUAGUGUUACUAUCCUAAGAGUGUUGUUUUGUGUUGGGUCUUUGAGUAUUAUUAGUUGCUGGAAGGAUUCGACAUCACCUCCUAAUUGUACGUUGUUUCGGUCCAGUUUUCCUCACAAACUAGGCUAAUUCUCUUCUUCUAAAAAAAACUACAGCCAAGCUCUUGGAGACGAAAAGAGCAGGGUGGUCUGGGUAUCCAAGAUUUAGAUUCACAAAAUAAGUGUGUCUACUAUAGGUUAACUAAUGAAGAUGGGGUAUGGCAACAGUUGGUUAGAAAUAAAUAUUUGGGGUACUAAAACCAUAGCUCAAGCAGAGAAAAAAAAAACUAGAGAUUCAUAAUUCUUGUCUGAUUAAAUGAGUGUCAAACCUCUGUUCUAGAAUUUUGGAAAUUAUGAAUUGAACAACAGUGCUCUGAUCAGAUUUUGGGAAGAUGUUUGGCUAGGUAACACUCCUUUUAAGUGAGCAAUAUUCUGUCAUCUAAGCACGCCCAUGGUGGUCUUCUCCUCUCUCCCAUGCUAGCUAAUGGACGGAUCAUAUAAAUUUAUUUAAAUUGGUGUCUCUCCACAUCCACUAGCAAGGCAGGACUAAAGGAUUCUAUGAUCCUGUUUCAUACACGGGCCUUUAAGAAAAUUUGGAAGUUCUAAAUAUUAAAUGGUACUAACCCAUAUAUUCCAAUAGUGAAAAGCAGUGCUUGAUCUGAGGGAAUUUGCAGGCCUACCUCUUGGAAUGCCAUUUUUAUACCUGAAACAAAAAUGUAACGGCCUGCAGUCAUGGUAAACUCAUUUUCCAUACCUGUAAUCACAUUCAGCAUGAUAAGUACUCAAUUACAAGCAUAACAGUUGCACCUUCAAAACACUUAAAUUUAAAACCAGACAGAACCUAAUUAACUUUUUAGAAUUAACCAUGCCAGCCAUGUGGUGAUCGGUCAUAUAUAUGUCAUUUCUCAACUUUCAGUUUUAAAAAAGCUAUAAUCCAUCUUGAGUAUCAAAUUAAACCAACAUAUAUCAGCAAAGCUCUAUGCCAAAGAAUCAGGUGCAUUCCAGCAUGACGAGGAUGAACAGAUGAAGGCAACCAUAAGUUCUUAACCAUGUCUGAGCUACAAGGAUAAGACAACCAAAGUGUGUAAGAAAACUAAGAAUACAGUGAAACCAUGAGAGAUCCGAUAGUUUCUUGAGAAUUGAAUUCAGAGGUUGACAUGAGGUACGGCGAGGGACAGAGGUUGAUAUGCAAUCCUUUCGUUCCUUAUGAUUUUUUUUCUUAUCAGAAACAAAAUAAUUAGCUGGGGAUCAAUAUCUUUGAAUCCUCUCCUUCAAGCUAAAUGGAGUCACGUGCCUGUCUAACAAACUCAACUGUGCGGAGUAGCUAGUGAACUCUCAUGUGGGAUCUCUUUUGGUUGGAUAUAUAUCUUAUAACAUAUACAUAGCUGAUUGGUCCUUUUGCAACAUUCAAACUUUGGCUUCUGAAUUCAGUCUUAGAGGUCAGUAUGAACCCGAAAAAGGAUGCAGAUUCUUCUGAAAUUCAGGACCAUGACAAUAAACAGCAAACUUUGUUCAAAGGCAACAGUAUUUUUUCAAGAUUGCAUAAGAUAAAUAAUGGCACGUAGCAUUGAUAAAUGGUUAGAGUUCAGUUUUUGUUUCUUUUUUUGGAGAUAAGAAACCACUGCUCAUGCUUCAGCUAGCAGCAGUAGUAGUACAGUAUAUCAUAUGCAUGUUUCAAAAGCGUUUCUGAAAAAAUUGGGAGGAAGUACUGCAUUCGAUGACUUCAUACAUCUCCUAUUCUCUGAAUCUCACAGAUUAUAUUGGAUGAAAUAAUAAUACAACAUGGUGUAACUGAUAAAUGAGAACACAACUACUACUAGCAGCUAGCUGCGAUCACCAAACACCCUGGGCAAAGCAAGUUCAUGCCACUAUAGAAGUGCCUCUUCCUGUGAAGCCACAAUUUUGCACUGAAUCCAAGAUGAAAAAAAUCAAACCCUAGUUAAGUAAUCCAAGAUAAUUCUAAUCAAAGCAUUAGAAAGCAUGACAUAUAUCAACGGAACAGUCACUUUGCAUCAGCAUGGAGCCCUGGAGGAUCCAGGAGGCAAUGGGCUGGGGAAGGGUCUUCAUUCCCAUGGCAGUGACAAGAGAGUUCAAGGGGAUCUGUUUGUGGGGCUUGGAAGUAUGUUACUCCUACAAUACAAUGAUCAAAAUCAUUGACCUAACCUAGACAUAUCCUAAUCCAGUACAAACUGGACUCAAGAAGAGCCAAGACAUACAUACAUACAUACAUACGUACAUACAUACAUACGUACAUAUGACACAAAAAGAAAAUUCAGGUAAUGAGAUUGUACACUGAAUUGACCAUUGCUACCCUCAUUGAGUCAAAAUAGUUUGAUGAAACAGUCUCAAUCUCAAUUCUUUGAAGCCAGAGGUAGAAAAUCACUUCCACUCCCCUUUUCAGCAACAGAUGUUGUAAAUUGAUCACUCCAAAUUGAGAAAGCACAUGUGCACAUGUUUGAAACAAGAACAAGAACUCAUAUAUACAGUAUUACACAACUUGUUGAUACACAUGUGGAUACAAGCAUGGUAUCAUAUCAAGCACACCAGAAUACACGUACAGAAAGAGAAAAGGUAAUUUUUUUAAUUUGUGUAGUUCUUGCGCUUCUCCUUAUAAUUGCAUCAGUGCCCCUCAAUUCUUCUAGGUGCAUCUUUUGCUGGUGCCUGCACUGGAUAUAAUGUCAUCCAGCAGAUAUGGUUCAUGGCUGAAUCCCUCGAGAUUUGACAUAUUGCUAGCGAGCAGAAGGUCAUCAUUAGAAGCAGUGUUAGGUAAAGGUGCUGGUUCUUCAUCCAUGACGAUGUCCUUCCCAACCACAGAUAGCAAAGAAUCAUCCAACAUGUCAAAUUCAUCCCAAUUGAUAUCGUUGCCGAUGCUAGCAGCAGCAACAGCUUGUGCAUCUAAGCUUCCAUGCACACCAUUCACUUCAAGGGAAGUAUUAGCUUCUUCCUCAUGUUGGUGUUGAUCAUCACCAACUCCAAUAGCGUUAGGAUCAAUGUCACCAUUUCCAUUGGUUGUACUGCUAGCAUGUAUGGUGCUUUUGGUUGCUGCAACCCCCACAUCGAUAUAAUUCUCUAUAGUGAUAUUAGUAGUGGUGUGGGCGCUAGUGAUAGUUGUUUGUAAAGGGGAUGGUAAUUGCAAAGUGAUUUGAGGAAUAUAAGGGCAAUGGAAUGCCAUGCCACUGUCUUGAGCAGCAACAUUACUAGAACUAGCACUAUCAACACCAUAAACAGAUGCAGAAGCAACCAUGUUCAUGUAGCAGUAUGUAUUUGGAAUAUUGGCUAGUGCUCUUGGAAGUUCUUUCAAAUGGUUCAUCACACCAGAAGAAGCAGCAAUUUUUUUGAUGGUGUUUCCAAAGGACCCAAGACCAUUGCCCAUGUAGUUGGUAGGUGGAAUUAUUCCACUCACUACGGGUGCUGGUGUGCCUGUGGUUGCAAUUACUGAAGAAGCUUCAUAAGGUAGAGAUGCCAAAGGUAAAGGAACACGAGGACCAUUAGUUUGUGGCACUACAAGAGGAGGAAUAUGGACUGAAGGAGGAUAUCUAGUGAAUUGAUGACUAAAUUGUGGCAAUUGGUUCUGAUGAGGAGGAAGAUGGCAGGAUGAGGAUGGAAGAUUAGUCAACAACCUAUGGCGUUUCUUAGUAGGCUUAGGAUAAGGAUAAGAACGGUGCUCAUCCUGAUGAGCAUUCAAGAAAUCAUUUAGGAAAUCAUAAGACUGAGUGGAGGCAAUAGCCUCAGUAAUGUCAGAGUCUAGUAUGAUGCUUCGCUGGCUGGAAUUGGCACACAUCCAAGAACGGAAUGCAAUUUCCUGCACAAAGAUCUCGCAUGCCUUUGUUAGGAAAGACGGCGUGUCAAAUGUCAUCAUCAUUUUACCCUUCUCAUCACAAAUGACCUUUUUGAUGCGGGUCAUGGGGAUUGCACGAUUGCCAAAGUCUUGAAUUGCCUCGAUCUCUACUUGUCUCUUCCUCCAAAAGUCAUCUAUCAUCUCCUGCUGAGAUAGUGGCAUGGGUGUCCUUGGUGAUGAACGAAUUUCAAUACGAUGAUCCAUUCUCCCUUCUCCAAUUGUGAAAGAUAUACCUAGAUAGAGGAUCAAUUCACAUAGUUAGUGCUUACUUAUGACAAAGUAAUACAAAAGUUCAAGUUAAUCAAAUGAAAACAUUCCUAGUUUUAUAUCCUCCAUAUCGUAUAUAGUAGACAACUAUGUAGACAACAUGUUUACAGGUAAAAGCAAAAUAUUUCUUAGUUCUAUAUCCUCCAUAUCAUAGAUAAAAGAAAAAUAUAUAUACAAACAUAAUUAAAUGUACAAAACAAAAGAUAACAUGUAAACAAGCCCCUACAAAAUCUAUUUUCAAUAGUAGUAAGAUGGUGUACCUUAAAGGACCGAUACUCUGAAAGAACUGAAGAAUAAAAACACUUGAACUAUUGGUGAUUGAUGAUGAUGGUGAGCACCAUGGAUGGUAGUUUAUAUAGGAAACCGAGGGGCUCAAAAGUUCUAAGGCAACUAACUUUAAAGAUCAAAAGAAAAUAUAUAAAAAUGAAAAGGCAAGAGGUUGGUGCUUUCUGAAAAAGUUUCAAAACUUUAUAUCUUAUAGCUACAGUCAUCUGUUUGUCAUUUACUAUCUUCUCAUGCUUAUCUAUAAAAAAGUUCCUUGGAUAAAGACAAUGUCCAACAACUUUCUGGUUCUUAUGGAUAUUACUUUUGUACUUCUGAAUGACAACUAAGACAUAAUAAAGUAGGUGAGAGUGUGUUACUAGUUGUAUUCAUGUUGAAUGUAUAGGAGGGGAGGUGCACACUACGUGCCGGGUUCUAGGUGAAUAAAUUUUUUUGUAAGUUAUUAAAAAUGUACAAAAGCUACUUUUCAUGAAUGGACAUAUCUAUAGUGGAUGUACAUUUGAGUUGUAAAGCUAUAUCAUUGAGUCAUCUCUUUAUCCCUUCCUAGAACAAGCACCUUCUAUUUUAUAUCCUUAAUUCAUGAUUGUAACAUUCCUUAACUUCAUAAACAAAGAUAAGGAUGGACAUGUGGGUGCUAGUUGGUACUUAGGUGUUUACAACCAUGGUUUCCAUGUAGAUUCUAGGCUAGUCAUGUGAUAAAAUUACUUCCCAUUGUGGUUGUUUAUGUUGUGGAGGCUAAGUCAUGUAAGAUCUUCAUAAAAAGCAUCCAUAAUUUUUGUGACAACAUGUAUUUGUGCAUUAGAGUCAUGAUAUAAUUUUAUAUGUUCCUCAAAAGUGACGCUUAAAGAAAGUAACCCAAUGCCGUCACGUAUUUGCACAUGAGAGUGUACUUGAUACUAUCAUUAUACUUUCACUUUAUAUCCCAUAGCUACAGUUUGUUUGUCAUUUACCAUCUUCUUAUGUUUAUCUAUUAAAAGUGCUUGGAUAAAGACAAUGUCCAACAACUUUCUGGUUCUUAUGGAUACUACUUUUGUACUUCUAAAUGACAAUUAAGACAUAAUAAAGUAGGUGAGAGUAUGCUACUAGUUGUAUUCACGUUGAAUGUGUAGGAGGGCAGGUGCACACUACGUGCCUGGUUCUAGGUGAAGUCAACUUUUGUAUAAUUUAUGAAAACUUUACAAAAGCUACUUUUUCAUGAAUGGGCAUAUCUAUAGUGGAUGUACAUUUGAGUUGUAAAGCUAUACCUUUGAGUCAUCUCUUUAUCCCUUCCUAGAACAGACAUCUUCUACUUUAUGUCUUUGAUUCAUGAUUGUAACAUUCCUUAACUUCAUAAACAAAGAUAAGGAUGGACAUGUGGAUGCUAGUUGGUACUUAGGUGGUUUUACAACCAUGGUUUCCAUGUAGAAUCUGGGAUAGUCAUGUGAUAAACUUACUUCCUACUGUGAUUGUUUAUGUUGUGGAGACUAAGUCAUGCACGAUCUUCAUAAAAGCAUCCAUGAUUUUUUGUGACAACCUGUAUUUGUGCAUUAGAGUCAUGAUGUAAUUUUAUAUGUUCCUCAAAAGUGACGCUGAAAGUAACUUAAUGCCGUCACGUAUUUGCACAUUAGAGCGUACCAUAUACUAUCAUUAUACUUUCACUUUAUAUCCAAUAGCUACAGUUUGUUUGUCAUUUACCAUCUUAUUAUGUUUAUCUAUUAAAUGUUCUUGGAUAAAGACAUAGUGUCCAACAACUUUUUGGUUCUUAUGGUUAUUACUUUUGCACUUUUGUAUGAGUAGUAAGAUUGUAAAGUAGGUGAGAGUACAUCACUAGCCCUAUUCGUAUUGCAAUGUGUAUGGGAGGUGCACACUUCAUGCAUGGCUCUAGGUGAAACCAACUUUUGUGCAAUCUAUAAUACUUUACAAAAUCUAAUUUUCAUUUAAUUGACUCAUCUAUACAUUUGAGGUGUAAAUGAAUCAUUUCUUUAUCCCUUCCUAUAACAUGCACCUUAUACUUUACAUCCUUGAUUCAUGAUUGUCACAUUUGUUGACUUUAUAAAUGAUGACAAGGCUAGGUAUGUCAUUUGCAGAAACUAAAUCAUGCAAGAUCUUUACAAAAGCAUCCACACUUUAUGAACAUCUAUAUUUUUUGAAUUAGAGAAGAUAUAAUUUGUAUGUUCCUCAAAAGUGAUGCUGAAAGCGCAUGACUUAUGGGAAUCUAAGAAAAAAAAUUCUGAACUAUUAAAGCAAUCAUGUGUGCAAGUUGGUUAAAUGAUACAUAUAUACUUAUGUGAAUCUAAGCAAAAAAAAAUCUAGAGAUCAAGAUAGAUGGGAAAAGUAGUUCAAGUACCUGUGAUUCACGGCAUGAUAAAUCGAUUAGCAUGCAUAGUUCCCAUGAGUCUUUUUGUGGCUCUUAUGAUAUGAAAAAGAGGUGGGAGGCUUCUUGUCCGUCCAUCUUGGUUGGAUCAUAGCUUGUACUUCAUAGGGUGAAAAUGGAUUAUGCGGUCUGGAAGUAUUGUCAAACUGUACAAAAAAGGGAUGAUUAUAAUGAUGACACACAUACACACCAGUACACAUGCACAUCAUACAACUCUACAAUUGUAUCCCCUAUGACGCACAUACAAAUAGAACUGCAGAAAGCACUUGCAUGUUUGAAAAAUCAUGAGCAUAGACACAUGAACCAUAUGGUAAGGGAGCCAUACCUCAUACAUCUACCACUCCAUCAAGACAUGCCUCUCCAUGCUGUGAUUUAAUGACACAUUGAAUUAUAGUCAGUGGCACAAAUUAGAAAUUUAAAUGUAACAAACAACAUAUAUAUAAAAGAAGAGACACAAACUUACUAAUUUCUCUUAUCAAUGAUAAAAUUCCCAUCAGCUUCGACUAGUCAAUUGUACAGGCGCCAUUUGUAUCUAGAGCCACCAUAUUGGUCAAUGAUGGUGGAGGAGUAAGGAAUGAUUUGAGAAAGCAAAGGAAGAAAGGAUGACCCUUCUGAGUUGUCCCUCACCAGUCACCAUGUACUUGAUAGAGGGUGUCAAAGUUGCAAAAAUAGACUCAUUUUUUUCCCAGACCAAUGCCUCGUGGGCCGCCUUUUAUAGAGUUUUUUUCACAUGAUCAUUCCUUGUCUUUUUAGAUAGUCUGCUACAACACGUAAGUAAUUGUCGGGCACUACAAUGUCGGUAGUAUAAUGCGUGAUAUUUGUGCUUUAACAUUCAACAUCCCAAAUUAAGUCAUGCCAAUAACUAGGCUGCAUAAAUUUUCUGUUGCAACUAGGGAGUGGAUCACCAGUAUGUAGUACAUUGAGCCUGACCCCAAAUUUAUUCUUAUUAGUUUCCAAUGUAAUAUCAUUGAAUGGAACUUAUUAUUAGGCCAAAAAGGCUUGGGCAGAACUAACCUUUUAAUGGUAGGCAUUGCUACCUGGGAUGAUCAAAUUCAAAAGGACAAUAAUACUAGGAUGUAUACCAAGGAUGAAAUCCUGAUCUUAUGCGAGGAAGACUAGAUCAAUAGUAAUCCUCAUAUGAGGGGAAAAAUGCAUUACCCUGGGUGUAUAACUGUGAUCCUAGUAGGAAGUGACCCUCCCUCGGUCGGACUGUAUAAACAAGGUGUGGGGACCCCCCUUCGGGAGUCCUGUUGAUCACCUAUAUUAGUCUCUAGAUCAGUUGGCUAAUAUAGUCAUAAUCACAAUUCAGUAUUUUAAGCAAUAAAAAGGUGUAUAAUUUAAUAGGAAAAGUUUUUCACCUUAGCAUAGAGAAGUGGUGUCCAUCCACUAACAAGAUGGUCCAAACACUCGAAGAUCUAUACCUGCAUGAUGAAAGCAAGGCUGAGUACACUUAUGGUUGGUACUCAGCAAGUCCUAAUAUUUACUAAGUAAUUAUAUGCAAUUUUGGGAGGUAGACAAGGAGAAUAGUUUAUAGGCAUAUCCUAUGCCUAAAGCAUCUCUCUCAUGCAAGGUGAGUUAAAAGCUGAGAAUUGAAAAGACUCUCUAGAAUAUAUGUUAUUUCAUAUUUUAAGAGUUGUGGUCCUGGAGGGGAAAAACUACCUCCCCUACAAGUCCCCAAGUUUUAUUUUGGAAUCCAGUCCUACGACUUUCAUCCAGCAUUCCUAACAUGCUAAUCCCUUUCCAAAGAGCUUCAAGAGGUAACCAUGGGGGCUUUAACUUAGUGAGCCCAUGAUUGCGAGCCUCGGCUAUUCGAAUAGAUUAUACUCUGUGCAGUGGUGUACACUUUCCCCAUACAUCCGAUCAGCCUAUACCCUUGCAAAAAGGCGAUACUGACCUACGAGUUCCAUACCCACCUAUGUCCAUCUCUAGACAGCAUUCUCUAGGUCCACCCACGGAUAUACUGGGGUUUAAAUAGGGGCCACUAACAUCCGCUUCGCGGAUCUCAUCCUGGAAACAUGCGCAUAAAAUAAAUCAACCAGGGACCUGGGACUAUGCGAAGGUCCUGCUCCAGCAUAUCCUUUGCCCACCUUGGCCUCUUGGGAUGGAUAACUAGGUUCAGCUAGUGGGGCUUGAACCAAGGCUUCACAUAAAUAGGCACUCCCGAAGGAUGUACCUUUUUUGCACGUAUGGUUGUACGGUUCACAAGAAAGACUCGCCCAAUGAACCGAUCCUUAUGCAACCGGAGUAAGCUCUAGACGGAGUACCCUCCAUCGAGGGCGCUCCCUUGCUCCCAAGUCCAUAACACACCCUAGGGGUUGCUAUUAUUAUCAUUUUAUCUUUUAACUCACACUUCCCAAAAGAGAAAACCCUUUCUUAAGCUUCUUAUAAAAAUGAAAUUUUAUGAGAAGGAGUUGGAUCCUCUCCAUAGAGAAUCCAACAUGUGUUAUCCCCAUAUACGGGGCGUGACUCGACUUGCCUAGCAUAUCUACAUGGGAAGAGUUUAUGGGGUAUGUAGUUUUGCCUAGGCUGAAUAUGGCUUAUGGCAUUUCAAUAGCAAAAUGACUAUUAUGUCCUUUUUGGGGCAUAGCUAGCAAGCACGCAUUUUAAAAUACCCUAGAAAACAAAUGCAAUUAAUCAUAUUAAGUUGGCAGUAUUAUUACUCUCACGCUCAAUGGGGGCAAAGCAUGAGCUAGAGUCGGGACUUGCCUUCAUUGAAGACUCUUAGUAUUUCCUAGGGUGACCAGGUCAUCCUUGGCUUCAUGUCUUCUGGUUCCUCAUCUUUGGAGCAGAACAUAGUCAUCUACCAGCUGGCAUAAGCACACAAUAGUACAAUCAAUCUAACAAUCAAUCAAUAAAAUACCAAAGGACUUGGAGAAGGAAGGAUGAUGGGCAUUUUGGGAAUUACCUGGCAUUUAAAGGUGAAUUCCCAGAUAUUCGAUGGGUAGUUCAUUAAUUAUUUAGAAAUAGAUUUCUAAAUAAUUAAUGAAUUAGAUGGCUAGAUUUUAAGGAACAUAAUGAAUAAUUUCCUAGGGGUUUAUGAGGUUUCGAGGUUUGGACGAUAUUCAAGAUUUUGGGUCGGGCGGCAUCACGGAUUAUGUUUGGAUGGUAUUCGGGAUUUUGGUUGGGCAUUGUAACGGCUAGGUCGGGUCAAGGUUUGAGGUUUUAGUCGAGCAGCAUUCUGAUUGGGCUUUGGGGUAGACUCUUGAUAUGAUUUGGGUGUUGGGUGGUGGGAGUGGAAACUUGCACGAUGAGCUCGGCUUUAUCCUGAGGCUCGGCCCUAUGGCGGGUGGAGCUCGGCAAGUUUCUUUGGAAAAUGACUUAGUAGGGUGCCACAUUGGUGCUACGUUUAUGGGUUUGAGAGCUCGCUUGACGGACACUGCUUCGACCUGUCCCGAUGUUAUAGGGUAGUCACACAGUGGCAGGUGGGGCCGGGCAAGAUCGAGUGGAAGCUAGAGAGCUUGCACGGCGAACUCACUUCGACCACUAGGGUGGAGCUCGGACAAGAUCAAUCAGAUGGGGGUCAGAGCUUGCUCGACAGACUCACUUCGGCCACUAGGAUGGAGCCUGGGCAAGGUGACCAAGGAUAGGCAUGGAAAUAGGCUUGGAUGGCUCUAAGAUAUUUUUAGAAAUUUUCCUAGGUUUUUUAGAAUAUGGAGGAGCAAGACACGAACUUCUUGGUGCGCUUAAGGGGUUUUCUAUUUAGGUGGGAGCUAGAUAUUUGGAAAAGGGCAUGAAUGUGAUGAACAAUAGGAAAUGAGGGCACGGAUAUGCUUAGAAUGUUAUGUAGUAUUUUUGGAGAAUUUUUGGAAAUGUGGAAGCACUUUAAGCAGGAUUUGUUGUGCACUUACCGGGUGGGUGUAGCAAUUUUAGGCUGGCUAGCGCAAGGGGUGGGGACCGCCCGGUGCACUAUGCCGUGCACCACGCCUAUGGACCCGUGGACCAGCGUAGCUUGGGUCCACGGUCCAGUGGACCACGCCCACAAGCGCUGGAGGUGAUGACAGCCUCACAGCAUCGAAGUUGGGCCUGCUUGGCAGUGGGGAAGAAAGGGACGGAGGGCAACGGAUGUGGAUGGCAUACUGUUGAUGGCUCUUAAGUACCAAAUCUAGACUGUCAACUCCUGCAUAAACACAUAAAAGAUGAGCAUCAACAGUAGUGGUAGGAGUUAUUACUAACGAAUUCCACAAGUGUUGGUGAAUACUUGUAUGUAGGUCCAUUAAGGGAGAAAACACACCUCAAAGAGCAAGGAAACACACUCUCAACCAAUUAAGAGCAAGCACGCGGAUCCAUGGCCCCACAAACAGGAGUAAACUAGCUAGAUUCACCGCGUAACACCUCGUACCCACACGAGGGCCCACUAGGCAGCGUCCCAGAUGAAAGGCAGUUACUAGGGGUCAGCCGAACCCCUGGUUCAGCUAAACCCCUAGUGGGCCCUCUUGUGCCCAGCUUGCACAUCGCGACUCCUUAUGACUUCCUGAAGGCGGUUGUGACCGUUUUGCUGGGAGUUACCACCUUAGAGCCUCAGAUCCUGCUAGGUGGCACAAGAAGAGGAGUUGGGGGAGAAUAUUCCCUUUGGAUGCUAGGAGCAUCUCCACUCUCCCAAGUCACCUCCACACUAUAAAUAGGAGGGUGUUAGCUGGAAUUUCCUUAUUGAGCUUGGUGUGUUCCUAAAUGCGUCUAGCCCAUUGAAUCUCUACUGUGAUAACAAUGGGGCUAUUUCUCAAGCAAAGGAGCUAAGGAACCACCAGAAGAACAAAUACGUAAUUCGGCAAUUUCAUCUCAUUCGAGACUUCAUUAAUCAGGGUGAGAUCAAGAUAUGCAAAAUACAGACGGAUUUGAAUAUUUCUGAUCCGUUGACAAAGCCUCUCCCGCAGUCUAAGCAUGAUGCGCACAUAAGAGCUAUGGGUAUUAGAUAUCUUCUAGAUUGACUCUAGUGCAAGUGGGAGACUUUUGGAGGUAUGCCCUAGAGGCAAUCAUUGAGAUGAUGAUAUUCCAUUGUAUCCAUGUUAUACAUUGUGUUCCUUGAAUAUCCAUUAAAGGCUACUUGAAUUGAUUUGCAAUUAUAUGAAUUGUGUGUGAAACUCUUUACUUGUAUAGUUAUUCUAAAAGUUGUACCUAGUCGGAGUUCAUGUGAUGACACACAUGAAUAUUAGACUGGCACAUGUAUUAGUUGAUGACUAUGUUUCACAAGUCAUAGACAUGGAGAUGUCAAACUAAUAAUGUGGGCACGUGUAGAGACAUGUGCUAGGACUGACCCAACGCGAGUUACAUAGUUCUCUCUUUACACAAUGUGUAUGCUUUGUCCUUAGAGCUGAGAUUGUCGCAUGUACUCAAGAUGUGGAUCGACUUACUUAGGGGCUAUCAAACGCUGCAUCGUAACUGGGUAGUUAUAAAGGUAGCUUUCGAGUUUGUCAAGAAGCAUGCUGUGAGGCAUGGUUAGUCAAGAUGGAAUUUGUCCCUCUCUAUUUGAGAGAGAUAUCUCUGGGCCCCUCGAGUGAUCGGAUCCAAAAAUGCAUGGCCAUGCUACGUGAGGUUAAGAGUUAACCUAGAAAGAGAUUCCGAAUUACAACGUCGAGAAAGAGUGGUCCGCUUGGAGCUAGACCAAAUAUCGUGAGGCAAAGAGAAUAGCAUGUACGUGAUAUUGUGAUGGUUCAUCUGAUAUGAUCUUCAUGUGCGUAUAGGAGUUAGUAUGUCUUGCUAGAGACCACUACUAACUAUUAGCCGAGUAGGAGUACUCGGGCCAUGUCUAUACGUAUAUGAACCUAUAGGGUCACACAUUUAAAGGGCUGGAAGCCCAAUUCGGAUGUGAUCUGAAUUGGACCAGGUUUAGGAGUACCAAUGGGCCUCGGACCCAGAGGCCCGUUAGGAACCCCUAUAUAUUGAGGGGUGGGGGGCACCCUAGGGUUAAAAAAAUCCCUUUUCGCACGAGCAGCAGCCGCGCAUCCCACGCCCUCGCCUUGUUGCAACUCGCAGACCUAGUAGUUUAGCUUGCGACGCUUCCUCCCCGCACAUGGGGGGCGUGCCUCCGCGGCUCCGCUAGUCCUCGACCUCAGGGGUUGGGCGCCUAAUUUUGGUCGGUGAACUUCCACGGCUCUGCCAGUCCUUGUCCUCGAGGGCUAGGCGCCUAAUUCUGCUCGGCGUGCCUCCGUGGCUCUGCUAGUCCUCGUCCUCGGGGGUUGGGCGCCUAAUUCAAGACGGCGUGCCUCCGUGGCUCCACUAGUCCUCGACCUCAAGGACUAGACACCAAAUUUCAAGUCAGUAUGCCUCUAUGGCCCCAUAAAUCCCCAAAACCAAAUGUAGAAACAUAUUUUUACUCAUCUACAAUUAUAUUCCCUGGAAAGAUUACUACAAACACAUAUUACAAGUGAUUGUGAACAGCUCUGGGAUAGCUGACACCCUAGGAUAAGAAGCUACAAUGCAGAAAAAGAGAAAUGCACAAUUACAAGAAAGCAGCACGAAAACACUUCCCCUAGCGAUGUCCUGGACAAAGUGGCGGGGUUCACAAUAUAGCCUCCUCACGAGGAUUCUUCUAGCAUCGUUACCUCCCAACUUCACCGCAGAGAUUGCGAAGGGAAGGAGCAUCUGGGUUUUCUUCACAAGACUUCUUCUAGCAUUAGACUUCUGGGCGAGUGUUACUCCUAUUAAAAACUACAAGCUUCAAGCCUACGAGUGCUAUUAUUUGGGCCAUGGCUCGUGCUGAACAUUGGUCUAUUUAUAGCCCGGCCGCUCAUUAACAUCCAAGGUGCUACAGUGGGCUCGUGAGGGUUCACGACAAGGCCUUCCCAUGCCAAUACGGCUCUACAGUGUUCACGUGAUGAUCAGACUGAUCUUCAAGUACUGACGGGAAUCCUGACACCACUCAGACGGCACAGUACUCCCGUGAGCAGGCAUUUUUGUUGCUUAUCUAUCAUUGCACGAGUCCUUAUCUUUAGAGAUUUGGACGUAUAUUUUUGGUCGGCAGGCCUCCGUGGCUACGCCUAUCCUCGUGCUCAGGCACUAGGAUCUGCUUCAAGGGACAAUUUCUUCUUCUUUGACCAUUGGACUGAUUAUCCUAAUCACUUCAAUGCUCAAGGGCUACUCCUACGGAGUGCAUCUUGCGACGCCCUCCGUAACCUUUGCUUUGACCUACUGGAUACUAGCAUCCAUCAACUCGGCACUCGUCUUCACUUUUGCACGUUGGCUUUGUGUUUGCUCAGAUUUUCUUCUUUUUUGAGCACUGCGCAGCCUCUCCGUCACCAUGACGCCAUCGCAGCUUCAGCCAACUUCAUCUCAAGCUUCACUGUGAUGACCUCAAAGUUCCUAUUCACCUACACAUCGCUCGGGGGCUUGAGGGAUAUGGGUACCCCAUAGGUCCCUACCAACCAGGAUACUGGCCGGAUCUGACAAGUAGGCCCGCACGACCAGGCGUGCGGGCCGAUGACAUGAAGAUAUUUGGAGUACACGCCAAGGCAACUAGAUAGUUUAAAUCUACUUUAAUAUUGUGGAACGCGUAUUGUAGUCCGACUUAGAUUACCUUCCACAUAACUACUGAGUAGAUUAGAUUCAAACCGACUUAUAACUCUUGGUCGUUAGCCUAUAUAAGGUGGCCAAGAGCACCCCUCGAGGGUAUCCCAACAUCGACUCAAACAUUGAGCAAUACAAUACACCAACAUAUAGGACGUAGGGUAUUACUCUCCGAAGGCCUGAACCUGUCUAAAACUCUCGUGUCCCUUCGUGUUCUCGUGAUCACCUUCGAGUUCUUAGUUUCAUAACCACCCUCACCUGCAAAUCAACCACCUGGAUAACACCCUGGUGGACUGCCGGGCUACUAAAUCCGAUAGAACUAACUUUACUCAAAAGAAAUUAUUGAAAAUGAAUAGAAGUAAGAGCUUGGUCUCAUUGAUUGAGUACUUGUGGGUUUCUCUUCGUGUAUUUUUUAGCCGUAUAUGCAUCUUUACCACUAUUAUAUCAAGAAGGAUUUGGGCCUCACAUUAUUGAACCAUCAAUUCCAUAUCUUUUUUAUGCUAAAAACAAUAGAAGUAACCUUGUGCCACCAUUCAUACACAAAUGGGUACACACUUGAUGCUUUAGAUAGCACUUUGUUUGUUUGGCAUUCACCGUCAUUUUCUAUAAAAGUUGUUUGCGUAAUGAUGGAGUAUCUAACAACUUUCUGGUUCUUAUGGAUAUUACUUGUAUUCCUCCAUAUGACAACUAAGAUAAUGAAGUGUGUGUACAACGGGGAGGUGCAUGCCUUAAGCAUAGUUAUAGGUGAAGCCAACUCUCAUGCCAUCUAUAAACAUUUUUUUUAAAAAAGAUACUUUUAAUCGAUUUUUCAUUGCUAUAAUAGAUGUCCAUAUGUUGUGUAAAGGUAUAUGUUUGAGUCAUUGCAUUAUCAUUUUAUCCCUUCCUUGGACUCGCAACAUCUACUUUGUGCACUUGAUUUUUAGUUGUAACAUUUUUUGACUUCAUAAACCAUGACAUCGCAAUAUACAUGUAGAUCUUAGGUGGCACUUAGGUGGUUUGCUAAACAUGGUUUCUAUAGAGGGGCCGGAUCAUUUAUAUGAUGUGGAAACUUAGCCAAGCACCGAAAGGACAUGGAUUUUCCUUUGAGCUAUAACACAAAAGGAUUUGGCGAAAAGGUAAAGGCAUGAGUGCCUACAAAUUUAAUUGUUAAAACAAUUAUGUGUUCAAGUUUGUUUAACAAAAAGUACUUAUGUGAAAUAUAAGAAAAAAUGUGAUGGUGAUCAAGCUAUAGAUAACGUAUAUGAAGUACCUGCAAUGCAUGACAUGAUAUAUCCACAAGGAAUCCCAUAUAAGAAUUGUGUUGCUUGCAUUGAAGCCACGUAAUGGUUGAAGCAGGUGGGGGAGCCUUCUUGUGCUUCGUGGUUGAUCAUAGCUUCAACUUCAAAACAUGAAACAUGAUUCUGCUAUUUCGAAUUAUUUGGUCCCUUUUGAUAAGGACAUGACACACUUAGAUAUAACCAUUCGUGCUAAAGAUAAGGUGAGCUCGUUAUUAUGUAUUCUUUUUAGUUAUUUUGCAAACAGAUUGCUACCUAAAGAUAUUAUUAUAAUUAGGAGCUAUGGAGAGGAUCGUGAAAUACUUGAAGAGAGGUAUGGAGGUGGAGAGGACCUGCAAGGGACGUCCAAGCCAAGUUGGAGGCCCAAAGCAACUCAAGUUCGAGCCCACCUCGAAGUCCAAGAGCAGCACGCACCAAAAAUGACGCCCAGGUUGCAUAUGGAGUCCAUUUUGGACGUUCUUUAUAUGGAUGGAAAGAUAAUUUUAUAGAGCUUCAAAUGGCACUGGUCCCAUAUCAAAAUUCUAUCUGAGUCAACGGGAAUUAUCAAAACAAUUGGACGUCCAGAAUCUGUCAGGUGCUGCGUCACCGUCUUUUGGGCCGGUGGGCCGUGUAUCGUAUUGGGGUCCAUUAGGGACGUGUCCAGGGGGUGGAGCUCGCCCCUAACUCCGUAUAUUCAGUAGCCGCCACCCACAUUAAAGUUUGGGUUUGGCUUAGAUUCAAUCUGUCAUUGACAGUCGCUGUUCAUCAGUUUGUGGGACCCCAACUUCAUGUGCUUAAUCCAAAGUUUCUGCAAUUGAGUUGCAUUCUUCCUCGCUCUUGCUUGUGUUCUUGAUUCACUUGCAGGAGGUAGCCUUCAUGGCGAGGUCAACCGGGCUACGCACGGUUGAUAACCAAAGGAAGAAUGGUGUUUCGAUUGCGGGGUUCGGAUCUUGCUGAUCGGAAGCCAGAUCGAGUGUGUUGCUACUCCACCAAAUCGAGUUAUUCUUACCUAACGGAAGAUCGGGCACCCUAGCUCCCAUAACCUUUUAUAAGAAUAAUUGGAAAUAGAAACUCUAACAAAAAGGGAUAUUUUUUCAAUUAAAAGUUUGACACACAUGCACACACACCACCACACAUAACAUUGCACACAUCCGCAGCCACAUCCCUAUGACGCACCUACAAAUAUUACCACAGAAAGCAUUUGAAUGCGAAGAAAUCAUGAGUAUCAAAAUCUCGAAUUGUGGUGGGAUGAACCAUACCUCAACCCCCCCCCCCCUCCCCCCCCCCCCCCUCCUCCUACCCACCCCACCAAAAUGUAUGCCUCCUCACUGUGAUAUGAUGAUACAAACUAGAAAUUUUAAUUAACCAAAUAAUGUAAGAAAACAAAGGUAUAAACUUACUUUCUCUUAUUGGGGAUAAAACUCCCAUCAACUUCAUAUAGUCAAUUGUAUAGUUCCUUGUAACUAAUCACACCAUGUUUGUCUAUGAUGGUAGUGGGACAUGAACAAUUUGAGAAAGGAAAGGAAGAAGGCAAGGAUGAGCCUGCAUAGUCUUCACCAAGUGAUCAACUAGAGGGCGUUGAGGUUGAGAAAACAAAAUCAACUUUGCACACUACAAUGCUGCCUGUUGGGUCCCCUUUUAUAGAGUUUCUCCACACGAUGAUCCAUUCGUUUUCAAAUAGUCUGGUACGACACGUCAAAUAUUGUCAGGCACUAUAGUAGUAAUAGUAAUAUUGCGUGAUGUUUACGCUUUAACUUUUAACAUUAAUUCUAUAAGAGACUAAACAAUGCCGUCUGUUACCUAAGACCCAUAAAAGUUCUAUUGCAGCUGGGUAGUAGAUCACCAGACUGAAACAAAUUGAGCCUGGCUCAUUAUCCUUAUUAUUUUCCAACAUAAUAUAUAACAUCAAUUUUUUUAGCACAGAUAAUAACAUCAAAUGGAACUGGUUAUCAUGCCCAAUAAUAAUCUUAUGGUGUCAGGCUUGGGCUGCAUUUUUCUUUUGGCAGGAGGCAUUUAUCCAUGGGAUGGCCUAAUAAAUUAGUCCAUGUUAUACACUAUUGUUAAGUACUGAAAUGUAUAGUGAAUAUUCGAGUAGUCUGUGUUGAAGGCAGUAACGUAGAGCAGUCAGAUUAGCCAUUUCCAAUGGUCUCUUCAUUUCAUCAUCGAACGAUGUUAAUGCGCAACCACUUAUUUUAAUCAUAUUAAUUUUUCUGUAUUGGUAUCUGCAGUUUGUGAACUACAAUGCACUAACUUGACUUUCAGUGCUCGGUAGAUGGGAAGGGAAGAUAUGCGGAUUUGAUAAUGUGAGGAACCUCUCUUUUGCUGUAGAAUCUGAUGACGGUGGUCGCUCCAAGAACCCAUAUACUGAUCACAAAAUUCUAGUAUUUGAAAAGGGAAGGCAGUGUGUGUUUGCUGAGGCAAGCAACUGUUAUGUAGCUCCAAAGGCUUGGAAAGAAGUGAUAUUGUUGUAUUAUUAUGUUAUUAGUAGUUACUAGAACUGUAUCCUGUUUGUUCAUCAGCCGAUAUCAGGUACCUCUGUCACUGUCGAUUGUGUUUUUAUAUGAUGGGUCAUGUGUAAUCAAUUGUGGUCCUCUAUGUGUUUCAAUAGUUGCAGGCUAGGAUAGUGGAAAAAGAGUAUUUGAAUGCUUAAAUAAUGGUGCGCAUAUGUAUUCACAAGAUUGAGGAGCCUUUUAACAUCAAAUGCAUACCACAGCAUAUAGUAUGCAGGCAAUGAGCAUUCUGUGCUAAAACAAGUGAGCGGCUAGUGCCUGACAGUGUGAAAUGAACAUGCCAAACGUUCUGAACUUUGAGAUGCUUUAAGUACUGAGAUACAUGCAUAUUUGCAGGGCGCACAAGUAGUUUCUACAUAUUUAAAUGCACCACUAACCUAUUGCUUCAUGUCAAUUGGCUUUAGGAUACCACAAAUAAUAAAGUGCUUAUUUAUUUUUUGUUUGAAGGAGAGAGAAAUCAUGUGAAUUGAUGGAAAUGCCCUUGUGCUCCCAACAGUCAGGCUGAUGCUCUGUCAUGUGUCCCUAUCUUAUUUGCCUACAUUGGCGUUCAUUCUAGCAGCAUGGAGCCCCAGCAAAGUCCUGCCUUCCCAUAAGAAUCUCAACUCAGCAGCAUCAAGGGUGGUGUGGAUAGCGUUACAUAUGAGGGCAGAGACGAGGCCGUCAAGUGGCAGCUGGAACAAGAUGCCCGAUCCCAGUCGAGCAUACAUAUUAAACCUGAUUUCCAAACUUCAUCCCCAUUCCAAAUGUGUUUAUUCAAGCAAGCAAUCGGGCAAUCCAUGUGCACACAUUCAAAUCAAUAUCCAAAAGCAGUGGGGCUUCAAUUUGUAUCACUAUGCUUUGAGUUAUGCUUCUAUUUGUAUACAGGGAGCUUAGUUUCGCUGCCACAAGGUUGUACAUGGUCACGCUAUGAGAGUGGAGACAAGGUUACACUGGAGAGUUUGUUGGAAAAAGUAGCUUUUGGUCGACCCACAAGGAGGAAUAGCCGAAUGGGGUCACAAAUGUGGGGUUAGACCCACCUGUUUAGUUAGUAGAAAGAAUCUGGAGUGGGAGAUAAGGGUAGCACAUCGAUCAUAUUUGUCUCUCCCAUAAACCUAAAAAUGAACAUUUCAUUACAAGCAGUGUCUUGCAGCUUAUUUCCAUAAAGAAACAGUGUCUAACAGCAAAACUUCAUGUUUAUAGCAUGUCCAUGAGAAACUUUGAAAUUAGAGGUAGAAGAUCAAUUCAACUGCUCGCAUCAACAAUAGAUGUCGAGAAUGACAUAUGUUUCACAUAAGAAUUCAUGUAUAUUAUAGAGUUAUUACACAAAUAGUUUCAAGCAAGCAUAAUACAAACCAUAUCAUACACAUAUACAGAGCAAAAAAAGUAUAUUAUGAUCGCAACAACGGCUUCCGUCCACCUAGUUGUGUCUGCUCCUGCUGCUUGCAUUGGAUAUGAUAUCGUCAACAAUGUGCAGUUCAUUAACAAAUCCUAAAAGGCCUGGCAUAUCACUAGCAAGCACAAGAAGAUCGCCAGUAGAGGUAGAAUCAGCCAAAAGAACAGGCUCAUCAUCAAUCACGAUAUCCUCCAAAAGUUUAGCCAUCUCAAAUUCAACCCAAUCGAUGUCAUAGCUGUCUUCACCCAUGCUAGUAGUAGCAGCCGCUUCUGCACCAAUGUUUCCAUGAACAACAUUCAGGACACCAUCAGCAAUAGUUUCUACCUCCUAAUGUUGUCGAUCAUCACAAACAUCAAUAGUAGUGUCAAGAUUAAUUCUACCAUUGUUAUUGGCUGAGCCACUAGUUUGUAUGGUGCUUCCGGUAUCUGCCACUUCUAGCAGGAUAUGAUCUGGUUCUAUGAUACAAGUUGCAGAAGGGAUAGUGCUAUUAGCCACCAAUGACAUGGAAGAGAAUUGCGAAGUAUCUGGAGGACUAUAAGGGCAAUGGAAUGACACAUCUCCACCUUGACAAGCAACAUUAUUACUAAUGCUAGCACCACCAACACCAUAGAUAGAAGUAGAAGCAUUCAUGUUCAUGUGGCAAUAAGUGUAAAAUAUAUUGUGUUGUUCUCCUGGAGAUGCUUGUAGGGGAGUCAUCACACCUGAAGCAGCAAUGGUGUUGCUCAUGUUGGUGUUGUUAUCAAAGAAGCUGAGACGCCUUGCAAUGUAAUUGAUGGGUGUUAUAAGUUCUCUCACAAUGGGUGUAAGUGUGGCUAUGGAAGACAAUUGUGGAGGUAAAAAUGGCAUUGGAACUAGCAUACUAUUGUUCAUGUGGUAGUAAGUAUUUAAGAUAUUGACUUGUUCCCCAAGAUGUACUAGCAUGGGAGUUACCACACUUGAAGCAUCAACGUUGAUGUGGGUGUUGUUCCCAAUGAACCCUAGACCACUGGCCAUGUAGUUGGUAGGUAGUAUUGUUCCAAUCACAAUGGGUGCAGUUGUAACUAUGUUUGCCAUCAAGGGAGGCAAUUGUUGCGGUAGAAAUGGCAAGGGUAACGGCAUAAUGUGGACAUAUGUCGGUGACAUAAGAAGAGGCUGUUGACGAUCGUUAUUGACACAUUUUUAAUGUCAUUUAAGUGGUGUUUUCAUACAUAUUCUUAUACUAACCUGCCACUUGGCACCUGAAAUAACCCCAUUUUCGCAUAUGCAUUGUAUUUUGGAGGACAUUCUGUUUUUACAGGAAAUUGGACCUAAAAGUAUAUUUUUGAAUAAAGCCCUGAACGAGUAACAAACUUGUCAAAGACGAAGGCCAGCAAGCUCAGAAAGAGCCCAGGCCGAUCGGCCUGGUGAAGCCCAAGCCGAUCGGCCAGGGGUCUUCUAGCCUCCUCCGACGCUCAUUUUUUACAAGCACUCCUCCAAGAUUACUUAGGGGCUAAGUUUGUGAAGAUAUGGUAAGGAUCACUUCGGGAUCAAAGAGGAAUCAAAGAGGAUCAAGUGGAGAUUUGGAAAGUUAUUUAAGAUCAAUCUCAUCCCGAAGCUACCGACGUGUCAGACCCACAUGCAUACAAAAAUAAACUUCCAGAACAUAAGAGGAGACUUGACGAUGAAGUUAGGCACGAGGGGAUAAAAGGAAGGAUCGGCCUGGAUCCCCCAAGUCAAUCAGCCUGGGGCUUUUCUUGCUCCCCUUGCCUUCCUAUUUUAGCCACGCGUCUUUCAGAUAUAAGUAUGCCCAAAAUUCAUCGGCACACAAGAUCCAUCCACCAGAAGUCUACGAAUAGAGGGACACACACCAGAGGAAGCGGAGGGCCGCUGCAAGUCUUCAAGGUUGUCUAGGAGAUGGCUUAGGCUAGACCCUAGCUGCCAUGGUCAUCCCUACGCGGCGAAGCCAUGGUGGAGUUCUGGAGCCAAGCCUUGUGAUCAUCAAGGCUUAUGUACACACGAUGAUGAUACCAAUCUAAUCUUGUGCGUACUUUGAUCUACUAUGAUACAUGCUUAUUCUCAUAUGUAUAGCUAUCAUGUGUUCUUUGUAGAAAUAGAUGUAAUCGUGGUGAUUGAGUGCGUAGGAAUUCGGUGUGAUUACCUUCGUGUGGUGACAGCAUGCGGGAAGGGAAAGGCCGAACGAUUGUGUAAUGUUGAGUAGGAUCGAUGGCGAGUAUUGUGGAAGUCGUUUGAGGUAAACCUUUAGGAAACUGGAGGCAUUAACACGCACCUCGUAGUGGUGACCACAAGAAAGUAGGCUGCUUGCAAGCCGCCUUUCUGAGAGAUGACUCUUUAUCAAGGUGCUACAUAGAUUGGUUACCAUUUGGCUGGAACUACAACAAGAAGACAAUAGGCUUAUGCUAUCUUUGGUUGUGUUACCUCAUAUAUACGGAUAUGAUCUGUUUACCAUAUCUAUAAUAUUUAUCUCAUGAUUGGGUUUACCUUUAUAUGCAAUUCAUGCUUCAUCAUAGGAUUAGAUCCAUUUAGCUAGAUAGAGAACCCUAGUCAGUUCACUGCCGAUUCACGGAUUGAUAAACCUUGGAUGGAAUACUCUAAGAAAAAAGCUACGAUGAUCCGUGCACUUGUAGUUCAUAACUUGGCAUGUUAAUUACUGUCAACAAGCUUUUCUGCCGCUAUUGCCAGGGAUCGACAACUUGAACCCUGGGGUGAUCUAUCUAACUUUUCGGACUAACCCUAAUUUUUAUAUUGCAUAUAUCAUAUUUUUCUUGUUUGCAUCCUUGAAAGCAGGUAAAUACUGGAUGCCAAAUGAUCGAACAUGGACUUCAUCAAGUCUCAAUUCACUCCGAUAAGGUGAUAACAACAUCAAGCCCAACUCUUUAGCAGUAGGUGCUAACUUUAUUAGUGGUCCAGCAUCUGCUAUCGAGUCCACACCAAUGAAGACAAUACAAAUGCUUAUAAGCAAGGUAUGCCACUAUGUCAAUUAAUUUCUAAGACUAAUGCUUCUUGGAGAUUUGUUUGUUCAAGUAAAAGGUGUUGGAAGCAACCAUGUCAAGCAAAGAGAGAUGAUUGGAUGGUUUCUCUGCACAAAAGGUGACGAUUUGGAGUUGAUCAAGAUUGGAGGCAACAAGAUUAGAAGCACCAUGACACUACCAACCUUCUCCAGUGGGAUGCUUAAGAACUUCUAAUUGAGUGAUGCGAUCAAGAAAGAAAAAUGUUCAGAUCAUCGACACAAAGCGCAAGAGCCUCCUCUGAUCCCGGCACCUUGUCUAGAGCAAGAAUUAUGGAGAAGAUCCAUCAUUUUCACCAUGCUACUCGCUGGUGCAGCAAUGGUGAUAACCUUGAAGUCAAAGGAUGUGUGACAUAAUGUCCUAAAGACUACAAGAUCAAGAUCAUCAACAUCUCUGGAUCAAUUCGCAACAAGCUACUGUUGUCAUCAAGAUUUUGCAUGACCUCAGAAGAAAACAAUAUAAUAUUUUUAUAUAUUCAGAAAUCCCAUGAAGUCUACAUUCCAACUAAUUAAGAAUCAAGGUAAUAGGAGAUUUCUACAAGAGGUUAUGGCCAAAUCAUCAAAAGUUGUGCGUCCUAAAAUCAGUUCUAGACAGCACGCAGUGCUGAAAUAAAACGGGCAUAACUCUCUCAUUUGAAAUCCGUUUUAGAUGAAUGACCACUUGUUGGAAAGAUAAUUUCAUAAAAUUUUCAAUAGAUUUAUAUUCUAGUAUAUGUUCUGUUCUAUACUUAUGGAAAAAUCCACAAAGAAGAGGCAGCAGCAAGGCAAUGAGAGCAAGACGGAGGAGAUGAGGAUGACAACAAUGAAGAGGAGUUUGGGCAAUGCUUUCAUAAAGUGUACAUGAUCAACUUUAGAAGCUUAGAACAAAAUAAAAACCUCUGGAGCAUGGGUACAUAAAGACACAAGCAGGCUACAUCCAAUACAAAAGAUGACAUCAAGUUGCAUCGAUACUUUGGAUUCUCGCGCAAGGGACCAUGCUUCGCAUGAACAUUAUUGAGGUGAGAAGUCUAGCUAUAUGGAUUUAACUUACGCGCUUUCAGGAGGCAAACCGUCUUUUUAUUUAUUUUCUUUACUAAGAUGACAGUCUAUAUUAUGCUUUUCAAUCAAAACCAUCAAGUAACAUUGUACCGUUGCUCUAACAAAUUCUGCAACCACAUGUUGUAUGCUUUAAAUAAUAUUGAGGGAGCACUUUAUUACUUGAUCUUGGAAAACUUAUAGACCCUUUUUAUGUGCUAUUAGUGUUUAGAGUCUUUUUCUUCGUGUCUUUUUAGAGAGAAAUGUGAAAUAUGGCACCACCCCUUUGAUUCUAAACUAGUGGCUAGUUAAUUUAGGCUAACUUAUGUUUUGUUUUAGACCACCUUCAUAUCAUGUCAUAUCAUUUUGUUUAUCCACCUCAUAUUGCAUUGCAUUUUCAUGUUGCUUUUAUCAAAAUCUUUUCCCACCUAAGCCUUCCUAUCAGCCCAGCCGAAAACCAGACCCAACAGAGGUUGGAUUAACUUGUGUUGCUCAGCUUGUUGCACCAUUCAGAUCGGCCUAAGUUAUUUUUGCCUCUAUUCUGACUACACCCUUACCCAAAGCCUUCCUAAAAUCAUAGGUUUUUGCUUUUCAUCAAAAAAAAAACAAGCCCUUUCUUUUCUUUUUGUUUUUCAAAACCCCCUUAGUUAGAAUUUCUAUGCUUGAUUUCUCUCUUCAAAAUUCUUGUUUCAAGCAAGAAAUAUAGGAUACCUAUAAACCUACCCUUAGCCUUGUUAGUUUGGUUGUUGGGGAUUUUCGAUGAAUGAUUUUCUUGUUGACAUUGCUUGACUUCUUGUGGCCAGCCUUGCUUUGUCAUUCUAAGCAAUUCUUUUUGACUCAACACAUUGAGGAACAACAUCGAUAGUCUUUUCAACUUUGCUAGCCAUUGUUUUUGCUAACCCUUUCGCAUGUGCAUUUGCAUUUGUUCCAUCAUUCAUGUGUUAGCUUGGUUUUCUCCUAAAAAUAUUUAUGAUGAAUACUUUCAUAUCUAUGUUAUUGCUUCUAGGGCAUUUUCCCUUUGCAAUCUUGUGUAAACGUGAUGUUUAGACUUGGUUGCAGACCAUCAUCAUUCAGUUUAAUAAACCUUGCUAGCUUUUCAUAUCAUCUCCAUAUUGUAUUGGUUGGUUUUUAAGCUUUGCAAUGCGCUCUAUUUUUCUUGUACUGGAAAGAAUUAUUAAUCUUAGGAUAAGCAUGGUGUUUGACCUUGAUUAACAAAUUUUUUAUGGCUAUGGAGAAUUUCAACAACCUAGUUGUAAGCAUGGUGCUUAGAACUUGGUGCAAACAUUGUCUUUGUUUAUGUUCCUACAUAUCAUUUGCAUUCACACUUGCACUCACGUACACUCAUUAGGUUUUUGUUUUUAUUUUACUAGAUUAGCUAUGCCACAAGUUAAAGUCUUAGGAAUGUUGUUUAUUUGUUGGCGAUUGCUUCUACUCCCGACAGUCACCUCGGGGUUAGUUUGUGCACUUGAAUUUUUUUGCAAGCAUGGUGAAGCGCUUUCAUGAAAAGAGAAGAAAUUGAAGUACAAUAAAGGUGACAAAAGUGAAGAAGCAUAAAGACAAGCUUCGAACACUAAGAAUAAGGAUUUUAACAAUCACAAAAAGUUUCAUCUUCUUCUUCCAUGCCUAGCACAAUACUAAGCAUGGGGGGACUUGGCGGACGAAGAAUACAAGGAUCACAGUCGUCAGAAGAUACUCAUUUUUCUUCUUCCAUGCUAAGCACAAUGCUUAAGUAUGGGGGAGGCUGCGCUGCACUUCAUCACAAGUAUCGAAAGGAUGGUAAAUUCUUCCUCAACCUUUUCUUUGUCUAUCUCUUUCUAAAAUACCUGUGAAUAUAAGCCUUCAACCAUAGACUCGAUGCAACCUUUGUAUAUCUCUCGAUAAUAACAUGGCUACUAGGAGUACAACCUAGUUUUUGUUUUCUUUAAAUCAUGACACCAUCACCUUGUGCUCACCAGGAUGUUAAUAAUUUUGCUAUAAUCUUGCUUAUGAAAAAAUGAUGAAGGUUGCCGCUUUGUUUUACCUACACAAUGUUGUAUAUGACUUGACUAUUUGCUCUUUAUUUAAUGAACCUAAAUUGAUUAAAUACCAUCUCUUUUAAUUGUGAAGGUUAAAUGACUAAAUUCUAGACCCACAAACUCUAUGUUGCUUUUUGAUUUAAGUUUUCUGAUGAUCUGAUAACUGGAUUUGUCUUUAUUAAAAAAUUAAUUCAUAUGCUAUCUACAUUUGUGAAUCUCUUACAAAGUUCUACAUAUAUAUAUAUAUAUAUAUAUAUAUAUAUAUAUGCGCAUGAUCUUUGAUGACGAAACCUUUAGAUUGCAAACUUAUAUUUUGAUGAGUUGGAUUAAGAUUGAUUUCUGUGGUAUGAUACUUAGAAGCAAGCCAUCUCCUUUGUGUAAACUUUUUUCUUGCUAGCCUUUCUAUCCAUGCAUUGUGAGUUUCUACACUGAAAAUUUCACAAACCUCAUUGGGCAUCCAACCUAAACCCAAAUUAUCAUUUUUGUGACUACCUCCUUGACCACAACCUAUUAUUGAGUAUGGAAAAAUAUUUCAACAAAGAUUCAGAAGAUUAAUUAGUGCCUUUUCAAGAAAAAAUCAAGACCUAGAGGCAUCCACCAGUACGGAGAAUAAAAAGCAAAGAAAACAGAGGCCAGAAGGGGCCAGGCUGAUAGGCAUGGACACCCUCAGGCCGAUGGUCUUGAGGUGUUUCCCCCUUUGUUCCCUCUGAAUUUUGGCAUGAAAGUCCCUCCAGAGGAAUAAAAUAAUUUUUCUGCAGAAGAUCGAAGAUUUUGAUACUUACAUUAGCAGUUUAUCUUUCUUCCUUUUCAUGCUCAGGGACAAACAUUGUCUAAGUAUGGGGGGAGUCAUCGCAUUAUCUCUGACUACUGCUAAGUAAAGUACUAUGUUGCAACAAGUUCUGAGGAGUAAAAUAAAAAAAUGAGGAAAAAGAAAAAAAAUGAGAAAAAAGAAAGAAAGAAGAAAGAAGAGAAAAAUGAAUGAAAAAGAGAAAAGAUAAAGAAGAAAAAGAAUAAAAUGCUCCUCAGUUCUUUGAGCCUCAUUAAAGUUCCCAGUGCUCUUAAGAUUAAGGAUUGAUCCAUACUCAUCUUUCAACCAUGUGCAAUCCGAUAACAAGGACUUCAUUUGUACCUCAGGAUCAUUCAUUUGUAACUUGCACGUAUCCACUUAUCUAAAUGUAUGUGUUUCAUCCCUCUCCCUCUCCAACAUUUAUUUUUCAUGACCUUUUCGACAAGUCUCAGUAAUCCCAAUAGAUCUCUCUUAGUUUGACAAUAUUUCAAGUAUAAUAUUUUGCUAGGAUAGUUUUUACCUACCAAGCUCCACAUAAGCCUUCCACCUUCAUAUAUGAGUAGAUUAGGUUAAAAAUAAUCAAGUAUAGGCUUGAGUGACUUGAUGAGAUAAGUGUUUCCAUGAGCUUUUGCAAGAAAGAAUCUCACUUGUGUUGGAUUUGCAUCCUUUUGAAAACUCUACACGGUGAAACCAGGUAAAGGUCUGAAGAUCACUUAAUUUCAAGAGCAUUGUAUUUAUUUUAUUAUGGCAUGUUCUUUAUUUCUAGUCUAUCUUCCAUGAUGAAAAAUAGCCGGUCACAACUUGAACUUUAAAUGCUAAAUACUUGAGAGAGAAAUGUGUCUUGUUAUGUAUAACUGAGUGCAGGGAUGACAUUGAAGGGCAAUGCUGAUUUCUUGAUUAAGCAAGUAUCCUGGACUUGCUCGAGGACAAGUAAGGUUUAAGCAUGGGGGAAUUGUUGACGCUCAUUAUUGACACAUUUUUAAUAUCAUUUAAGUGGUGUUUUCAUACAUAUUCUUAUACUAACCCGCCACUUGGCACCUGAAAUAACUCCGUUGUCGCAUAUGCAUUGUAUUUUGGAGGACAUUCUGUUUCUGCAAGAAUUGGACCUAAAAAUAUAUUUUUGGAUAAAGCCCUGAACGAGUAACAAACCUGUUAAAGAUGAAGGCCAGCAUGCUUAGAAAGAGUCCAGGCCGAUCGGCCUGGUGAAGCCCAAGCUGAUAGGCCAGGGGUCUUCUGGCCUCCUCCAACACUCAUUUUUUGCAAGCACUCCUCCAAGAUUACUUAAGGGCUAAGUUUGUGAAGAUAUGGUAAGGAUCACUUCGAGAUCAAAGAGGAACCAAAGAGGAUCAAGCGGAGAUUUGAAAAGUUAUCUAAGAUCAAUCUCAUCCCGAAGCUAUCGAUGUGUCAGGCCCACAUGCAUAUAAAAAUAAGCUUCCAGAACAUCAGAGGAGACUUGGCGACGAAGUUGGGCGCGAGGGGAUAAAAGGAAGGAUUGGCCUAGACCUCCCAGGCCAAUCGGCCUGGGGCUUUCCUUGCUCCCCUCACCUUCCUAUUUCAGCCACACGUCUUCCAGAUAUAAGUAUGCCCAAAAUUCAUCGGCACACAAGAUCCAUCCACCAAAAGUCUACAAAUAGAGGGAUACACACCAGAGGAAGCUGAGGGCCGCUGCAAGUCUUCGAGGUUGUCUAGGAGAUGGCUUAGGCUAGACCCAAGCCGCCGUGAUCGUCCCUGCACGGCGAAGCCAUGGUGGAGUUCUGGAGCCGAGCCUUGUGAUCAUCAAGGCUUAUGUACACACGAUGGUGAUAUCAAUAUAAUCUUGUGCGUACUUUGAUCUACUAUGAUGCAUGCUUAUUCUCAUAUGUAUAGCUAGCAUGUGUUCUUAGUAGGAAUAGAUGUAAUUGUGGUGAUUAGGCUAUAUCUUGCGGAUACAUCUUAGUACUACGUAGGAAGUCGGUGUGAUUACCUUCGUGUGGUGACAGCAUGCGGGAAAGGAAAGGUUGAACGAUUGCGUAAUGUUGAGUAGGAUCAAUGGCGAGUAUUGUGGGAGUCAUUUGAGGUAAAGCUUUGGGAAACUGAAGGUGUUAACACGCACCUCGUAAUGGUGACCACAAGAAAGUAAUGGUGACCACAAGAAAGUAGGCCGCUUGCGAGCCGCCUUUCUGAGAGAUGACUCUUUAUCAAGGUGCUACAUAGAUUGGUUACCAUUUUGGCUGGAACUAUAACAAGAAGAUAAUAGACUUAUGCUACAUUUGGUUGUGUUACCUCAUAUAUGGAUAUGAUCUGUUUACCCUAUAUAUAUUACUUAUCUCAUGAUUGGGUUUACCUUUAUAUGCAAUUCAUGCUUCAUGAUAGGAUUAGAUCUAUUUAGCUAGAUAGAGAACCCUAGUCAGUUCGCUGCUGAUCCACGGAUUGAUGAAUCUUGGAUGCAAUACUCUAAUGGAAAAGCUACGAUGAUCCGUGUGCUUGCGGUUCACAACUUGGCAUGUUAACUACAUCAACAGAGGCACAUGGAAAUAGGAGGAAUAUGCAGCGAAUUGAGGGCUAAUUUGUGUGGUCUGAUGAGUGUGCAAAAGAAAGUUUGUUUCAAUCUCCUCUUGUCUCUCCCUAUGAAACUCAUCUAUCUUCUCUUGCAGAGACAUUGGAAUGGGCAUUCUUCGUAAUAUGUAACUGUCACUAGGAAGAUUCGAUUCUUUCUUCUCCUUCUGUAAUAGAUGUACCUGGAUAGAGGAUCCACUCAUAUACUUAGUGCUUACUCUUGAUGUCUUAAAGCAAAACUAAACUAAUAGUUGGUUGAUUUUGACAAAUCAUUAUAUCUCUAUUCUCCACAUCAUAGAAUAGGAUAAAACAUUGCAAGCCAACAUAAAACAAAGAACAAGAUAAAAGAUAUGAUGGAACAAUCACCUAUAGAAAGUACUUGAGACAAUAGUUAGAGAAUGUACCUUAAACGAUUACUACUAUGAAAGCACUAAAUAAUCAGAAAUAUUGGUGAUAGAUGAUAAUGGGUACUAUAUGUAUUGGUUUAUAUAGGAAACCAAGGGGCUCAAAAGUUAUAAGGGAACCUACGUUAACGUUCAAAACAAAUUAUAGAAAAUGAAAAAAAGAAAGACCUUGAUGAUUGUUUAUUUAUUACUUGUCGGUUUCUUCCUGCCCUUUUUAGCCGUGCAUGCAUCUUUUCCACCGUUGUAUUGAGGUGCAUUAGGGGCCUCAUCUUUUUGAACCAUACAUUCUGUAUAUUUUAUGACAAAAACGUUGGAAGUAACCCAAUGUUAUCACGCGUUCAUGUAUGAGCAUACACUUGAUGCUAUCCAUGCACCUUUGCUUUUAUAUCCUAUUAGUGUGUUUGUCAUUUACCAUUUUUUAUUCUUAUCUAUAAAAGGUGCUUGGAUAAAGAUGGAUGGAGUGUCAAACAACUUUGUGGUUCUUAUGGAUGUUACUUGUGUCCUUCCAUAUGACAACUAAGACAAAGUUGGUGUACAAGCCAUGUGUAUGUUUCAUGUGGUCCUACGUGAAGCCAACUUUCGUGCAAGCUAUAAACACUUUCAAAACUACCUUUAGUUGAUUUUUCAUUGCUAGAGUGGGUGUCCAUUUGUGGUGUAAAGGUAUAUCUCUGAUUCAUUGCUUCAUCAUUUUAUCCUUUCCUAGGACUUGUACCUUCUACUUUGUAUACUUGAUUUUUCAUUGUAAUGUUCCUUGACUUGAUAAACAAUGACAUGGCUGGAUAAAUAUGUGGAUCUUAGUUUGUACUUAGGUGGUUGCUAACCAUGGUUUCUAUGUAGAGGCCUAAUCCAUCUUAGUUUGUACUUAGGUGGUUUGCUAAUCAUGGUUUCUAUACUCCUGAUGCUGGUUGUCAGGGCCGUACCUAGUAAUUGGAGGCCCCGGUAUGAAUUAUUUUGAAGACAUGAUGAUUAGACAAAACAAACAAAUGAAACACCUCCGUGCUCAUACGGGGUUUUGACUUAGCUAGAGAAGAACUAAACCUUGUGUGAUUAUUGGGGCUUGCAUUCUGCUGUUAGUUAAGCAAGACAAUUAGUACUAAUGUCAGAUUUGGAGGCCUCUAAUUUUUGGAUGCCCUGAACAGUCGCACACCUUGCUCCUGUCACUGUACGGCCCUGCUGGUUGUUUAUGUUGUGGAGACUCAUUCACGCAAGAUAGGCAUAAACAUACACACUUUUCGUGACCACCUAUACUUUGUGAAUUAGAGACAACAAAUUAUAAUUUGGCAUAUCCCUAAAAGGUAACACCGAAAGUACAUGACUUCUCCUUUAUGCCAAAAAAAGAUUUAAGGAAACGGUAAAGGCAUGCAUCCCUACAAAAUAGAACUGUUAAAGGCAAUGAUGCUUGCAAGUUUUCCUAACAAUAAGUACGUAUGUGCAAUCUAAGGGAUAAAUAUCCCCGAAAGGUGAUGCUGAAAGUACAUGACUUUUCCUUUUAAGCUAUGACACAAAAGAUUUCGGGAAAAGGUAAAGGCAAGCAUCCCUACAAAAUUCAACUGUCAAAGACAAUCAUGCUUGCAAGUUUCCCUAACAAUAAAUUCUUAUAUGUGCAAUCUAAGGAAAAAGAAGACAGUGAUCAAGGUAUAAAAAAAAAAAGAAUAGGCUGACCCCAAAUUUAUUCUUUUUUCCCCACACAGUAACAUCCAAUGAACUAGUCAUUGUGCCCAAUAGUCUUAUGGGCCGGUCUGGGCUUGCAUUCUUUUGGUGGAGGUAUUGAUUCAUGGGAUGUCCUAAUAAAUUCGUCAUUAAUGCUAUAAAUAAGUUAUGCUCAUGUCCGAUUGUGUAAUUCUAAAUUUGAUUCAAUUUUAACUAAUGAAUAAAUAAGUUAUGUACACAAUUAAAAAUCAACAGACUGGUCACGAUUAUCGACUUUUAUUGACAAAAAUAAGAAUUAUUGAUUAGAAGAAAAAUCACAUGUCCAUCUACUUUGCAUAAUACGUAACAUUUGGACUGUCGGUGCACCAAUUUACCAAGUUAUUGCACUAAAUUGAGCAUGUUACAAAUUGUUCCUGUCAAGUUAUUAUACCAAAUUGAGCAUUUUACAAGUUAUUGGACCAAUUUUGCACCCACCUGAUCAUUAUUGUACUAAAUUGAGCAUUUUACAAGGUGUUGGAUCAAUAUGCACCCACCAUUAAGUAUUUUACGAGUUGUUGGAUCAAUUUGCACCCACUUUACAAGUUAUUAUAUGGUGAGUACAAUUUACUCUUUUUAUAAAUAUUUUUAAUCUGACUUUAAAUAGUUUGCCUAAGACAAAUCUAAAUCUAAAUGGACUUUGAGCAUGGUUGUGUUUGGUUGCCUGCAUUGGGUCUUAUACGGGUUUAUGCAAUGCAGGCUCCCUGUGAUUGGCCCCCGUAAACUCUACCUCCACCUAGUGCAAAGUUAUCAUAUUACCGUACGCAGCCAACCAAAGUCAAACACCAGCACACUGCUUAAUCGCUUGUGCUUAGGCCAAGCAACCAAACACACCCUACGUGGGCUGCAACUAGGGUCAAAACAAAUUCAGGAAUCGACAUGAGUUUGUUUUGGCACCUAAGCCUCAUUGUCAGCAUUAGUAAGCUGCCACAAAAAUGUAAACAGUUUGACCCAAUAAGAACAGACAUUGAAACAAAAGUAAAUUCUAAGUGAUAGCACGGAAUUCAGGUAACAUUAACACCCCAACCUCAAAACAGUUACAGUAGACCAUCAUUCAGUCGCUAGUUAAGCACCAACAAAACCUUGGUGGCCAAGUGACGAAACAAACCAAACACGAAGCCCUCAAGAGUAUCACCUAAAGCACAAGUGAGGAGACAUCCGGAAGGGCAUUCUGCACUUCCUUCCGCAUCACCAGAA
rnacentral:lncRNA from 1 species